UGAUUCUUCCUCAACUCAGACUGCAACCUCUAAUUUUGUUAAUUCAGAUAAUGCUUUUCUUACCUUUCUUGUAAAAAUUGCAAAACCCUCUUGGGUUAUAGAUUCAGGAGCAAAUAAACAUACAACAGGCUCUAUAAAACAUUUCCUCACAUAUUCUAAGUAUCAAGGCACAGAAAAAAUUCGCAUUGCGGAUGGCUCCUUAGUACCGAUUGUUAGCACAAGUCCUAUUGACUGUAAUUUCAAUAUUAAACUCUCAUAUAUUCUUCAUGUUCAUAGAUUCCCUAUUAAUCUGUUAUCUGUUAGCUUAAUCACAAUAGCGCUUAAUUGCAAAGUAAAUUUUUACCCUACUCAUUGUAUAUUUCAGGAACUGAACACGGGGAGAAUGAUUGGUGGUGGUAGCUUGCACGAUGGAUUGUAUCUGUUGGAUGAUGUUUGUCGUUUUUCAAAUUUGGGUACCGGUCAAUCUUUGUUAGGAGCUUCUAGCAUCCUUCCCAUGAAGUUAUUCAAUGGCAUAGGAGAGUAGGACAUCCCUCUUUUUCUAUUUUAGGAUGUUUAUUUCCACUUUGUUUGCUAAGAGUGAUUUUGAUUCAUUAGUAUGUGAUGCUUGUGAACUUGCCAAACACACCAGGCAUUCUUAUUCUCCAAUUAAUAAUAAAAGUUUUAUUCCUUUUGCUACUAUUCAUUAUGAUGUAUGGAGUCCUACUAAAACUGUCUCUCUUUCUGGUUAUAGGUGGUUUGUGACCUUUAUUGAUUGUUGCACUAGAUUUACUUGGAUUUAUUUGAUGAAAACAAAAAAUGAAGUUUUUUCGUGUUUUCAAAACUUCCAUAAAAUGAUUUGUACUCAGUUUGAUGCGCAUGUUAAAAUCCUAAGAACUGAUAAUGGUACUGAACACAUGAAUGCAGAUUUUCGUACCUAUUUAGAUUCUAAUGGUAUUAUACAUCAAACUAGUUGUGUCAAUACUAGAGCUCAAAAUGCAGUAGCGGAAAGGAAAAACAGGCAUUUACUGGAAGUAGCUAGGUCUCUCAUGUUCACUAUGAAUCUUCCCAAACCAUAUUGGGGGGAUGCUAUUUUGACUGCUGAUUACCUUGUCAAUCGUAUAGUUUAAAACUCCAUUAGAGAUUCUUCAAGGAAAAAACUCUUAUGUUGUACCUCCUAAUGUCUUUGGUUGUGUUUGCUUUCUUCAUCAGAAUGGUCUAAGCAAAUUAGAUCCUAGAGCCUUGAAGUGUGUGUUUGUUGGUUACUCUACUACUUUGAAGUGUGUGUUUGUUAGUUACUCUACUACUCAAAAAGGACACAAGUGUUAUCAUCCUCCUUCUAGAAAAUACUUUGUGAGUAGGGAUGUUACCUUUCGGGAAUUUGAGUCUUAUUUUCCUUCCCAAUCACCUUUUCAGGGGGAGAAAUAUCAGAUGGUAGAGGUGAUGAAUGACAUUCCUUUCCAGGGGGAGAUUCCUAUAGACAUAGAUAGUAAGAGAGAACAACCACCCAAUUUCAGGCCCUACACACGGCGGACUAAUAGAAAUACAACCAUGGAGCAUGAGACCUCUGAUCAACCGUCCUCUCAAUUUCAGGCCCUGAAAAUACAACGAAACAAGAACUUGGUAAGUCUUCUUUAAUCCCUGAUGAUUAUGAUCCUAAUCUUGAUUCCAACCCUUCUGAUGAUGACCUUGAUAUUCCUAUUGCUCUUAGAAAAGGAGUUAGAACAUGCACUAAACAUCCCAUCUCCCAUUUCAUCUCCUAUAAUGCUCUGUCCCCUUCCUAUAGAGCCUUUAUUUUGUUUGUUUCUUUUGUUUCUAUACCGCAGGAUUGGCAAGACGCAUUCCAGGACUCAAAAUGGAAGGCUGCAAUGGUUGAGGAGAUGAGAGCUUUGGCAAAAAAUGAUACAUAGGAUCUUGUAACUCCUCCAUCAAGAAAGAAGCCAGUUGGAUGUAAAUGGGUGUUCACAGUUAAACAUAAGGCAGAUGGUUCCAUUGAGAGGUACAAGGCCAGAUUGGUAGCUAGAGGGUUCAGUCAGACCUAUGGAGUUGAUUACCAGGAAACUUUUGCCCCUGUAGCCAAGAUGAAUACAAUCAGAAUUUUAUUGUCUUAUGCAGCCAAUCUUGAUUGGGAAUUACAUCAAUUUGAUGUUAAAAUGCUUUUCUAUAUCGUGAUUUGAAAGAAGAGGUGUGUAUGGAGAUUCCUCCUGGAUUUGAUGAUAACAAGACCAGAGGAAAAGUUUGCAAGCUGAAGAAGUCAUUAUAUGGGCUGAAGCAAUCACCAAGGGCAUGGUUUGAAAGGUUUAGUAAAGCUAUGCUUUCUUUUGGGUACAUGCAGAGCGAUGCUGAUCAUACUUUGUUCAUCAAACAUCAUAAAGGUAAGAUCACCUUGCUUAUUGUUUAUGUUGAUGAUAUAGUGAUGACUGGAAAUAAUGAAGAAGAAAUGACUCACUUGAGAAAUUUGUUAGCUAGGGAGUUUGAGAUUAAGGAUUUGGGAAAGUUGAGAUAUUUCCUUGGGAUAGAAGUUGCUAGAUCAGAAAAAGGGAUUUUUAUUUCUGAAAGUACAUCCUUGAUCUCCUUAAAGAAACUGGUAUGUUGGGAUGUAAACCCGCAGAAUCACCUAUUGAAGCCAAUCAUAAGCUUCAAGCUGGAGUGGAAGUUCAAUUGAUGUUGGCAAGUAUCAGAUGUCAGAAGGUUGAUUUACCUUGCCCAUACUAGACCAGAUAUUGCCUAUGCUGUAAGUUUAGUGAGUCAGUACAUGCAUGACCCUCGGGAGUCUCACUUAGAAGCUGUGCAUCGGAUUCUAAGAUAUUUAAAAUCAGCUCCUGGUAGAGGACUUUUAUUUUCUAAACAUGGCCAUUUGACAAUAACAGGCUAUACAGAUGCGGAUUGGGCUGGUUCUCUUGAUGAUAGGAGAUCAACCUCAGGAUAUUGUGUUUUUGUUGGAGGAAACCUUGUCACAUGUCACUUGGAGAAGCAAGAAGCAGGUUGUUGUUGCAAGGUCCAGUGCAGAAGCAGAAUAUAGAGCUAUGGCAUAGGGAAUAUGUGAACUCCUAUGGUUGUGCAGAAUAAUAGAAGAAUUAAAGUUGGUUGAAACAAUAAAUAUAUCCUUGUUUUGUGAUAGUAAAGCAGCCAUCAGUAUUAUGAAUAAUCCAGUCCAGCAUGAUCGAACUAAGCACAUAGAGAUUGAUCGUCACUUUAUAAAAGAGAAGAUAGUUGAAGGUCUUAUAAAUGGCUCCUAUAUAGCUUCAAAAGAGCAACUAGCCGAUGUUUCACAAAGGGUUUGAAUAGCAAAUUGUUUCAUCCUUUAGUUUGCAACUUGGGCAUGAAUAAUAUCUUUACACCAACUUGAGGGGAAGUGUUGAAAUCUUUGUAAUUAAAGUAAAUAUUAUCUUUCCUAGUUUAGGUUUAUUCCUAUUUAGAUUACUUCCUAUACUGGAACAAUCUUGUGUACAUAUGUAGUGGUGUAGAGAUUGAAAAACAUAACACAAUAAAAGAAAUAUGACAUAUUCUUUCUUCAAAAAAAUUUUUUUUUAAGGUCAGUGUCUAGCAUGGCCAUGUUAAGUAUGAAGCACGGGCGUGCUUAUAUGUUUUGGUCUAAAAAUGAGUGUCAGAGUCUAGCAUGAGAAGCACGGGCGUUUUGACUACUAUUCUCCCCUAUCCCACAAAUGUAACCCAAUUUAGGUAGGUAAUGGCUUUAAUAAGGGACAAGCGUAUACAGUGAGUUCCAAAUAGCCCCACAAAGGUGUUUAAUAACUUAUAAAUUCUUAAUAAUUGUAACACAUAAUUUUUUUUUCCUUUUUUCUGUUUUUUUUUAAAUUAUGUUUAGGGAGUCCUAAAGUCACAACUUUCCAAAUUUCUUUUUUUGUUUUUUUUUUAUCAAGAAGACAAACAAGAAGAUUUAAAGAUGAAAACUCAGAUUUAGAAUGAAGUCAAAAACUAAGAUAAACACCAAAGGAAAUUCAAAAAAAGAAGAAAACUCAAAACCUAGAACUAAGAUAACAGAACUUAUCUUAAUCUUUGGCUCUAAUACUAAAUGAUACGGAACUCUAAAACUAAGAUAACAGAACUUACCUUAAUCUUAUUUCUAGAACUCUUAAUCGAGAUGGAAUAAUAUCAAAGAUUAAGUUAAAUCCCCCUCUAUGGCACCCCACAUUUAUAAAGAAACGGAAACACCAAUAAUUGAGUAGAAGAAUAAGAUAAACGCUACAAUGAGUUGAUAAGUUUACCUUGAUUCUUGAUGCAACCCUACCAAACCCCUAAGCAACAAGGAUUGAGAACGUGGAUAAUAGGGCAGACUUAAACAAGAAAGAAAACGUCACAAGAUGAAAUCUUGAUAAGUAAUCCAUUCUUAUUGCAAUAAUUGAAGGAGACAAGCUCCUCAAUCAAAGGAAGGCAAACCAGCCACCAAUUUUGAGCAAAUCCCAACUUAUCUCGUUUUACAUCUUAAGGAGGCUAUUUAUAUGCCUCAAACAAACCCAAUCCUAAAGAAAAGUAUCUAACUUGGCUGUCCUAAGGCCCAAACACAUGGGCUUAACUAAAACACACAAAAUAAAGUCAUUUCCAGCCCAAAAUAAACAAGUUAGUUUAGGCCCAAUUACAUGCAUAAUAAAAUCAGCCUAAAAACAACUUAAAUAAGGCCAAUAGGGCCUUUACAAAAGCCUAACAUUAACUUUUACAAGCCUCCACAAGAUAAAGAAGUCUUGGAUCUAGUUAUCGGUUUCGUUGGAAAGGCGAAAGAAAACCUUAGCUCGAGGCCCACGCUCCAUGCUCAUAUCAUAGUCGUUAUUCCGUUGGUAGAUUUUCUGUUAGUAUUUCGUUGCUAACCCACUAUUAAAAUCGUCGGUAAUCUGUCAAAAAAUCAUCGUAAUGGUUUAUUUAAUUUUCAUAAAUCCCAUAUUUUUUCGUCUGUACAAUUUACAAUUGGUUGAUAAUCUGUCAAAAAAUUUAUAUAUAUUUUUCUUCAAAUAGAGUUUUGUCAGUAAAUGGAUUGUUAUCCGUCGGUAAAAUAUUAUUAAUUUUAAAAAAAUAAUUUGUAAAAUCUACUUUAUUUCAAAAAUUAUCACAACCUGGCAGUAUAAAUAAGAAAUCUAUAUAUGCGAAUUCAUGACAAUCAAAUGUUCCAUAAUCAACAAUAUAAAUAUCUCAUAAAUAGCAAGCAAUUAACACAAUUUUUCACAUUAAAAUGCACAAAACAUGAAAACUUAAUGAAACAUAAAAGGGAAAUCCUAAAACACACCAAAGAAAAAGAAAAGAAAAGAAACUGAAGACUGUCUAAUAUGUCUGAAUAUCAUCAAAAGAGUCUGUGUCAAUGGUCCUCAGGCCAUCGAUAAUAUGCUCGGCUUCAGAAUCAUGUUUUGCAGCAUGUUAGAGAGAAAUAUGAUCUGAUUGUUGGUGAGGAGGGUAUGUACUCGGCAUAAAAGAUAUGGUAGCUUGGGUUAGUGUUGAAUUGCCUAAACCUCUGAUUCAUCUCUUCAAUCAUCUACAAUUGCUGCAACAUGAGUCACUCUAGUGAUGCAUGUUGCUCGACUAAUGUCUCAAGAGUCACUGAAGAUGACCCUGUAGUGGAUGUAGCACUAUGUGAGGUAAAUUCAAUUUGCAUGAAAAAUUGGGUAGCCUCAAUGCCAAUCUCAUACACCCGCUACUUUUUAUAAUCUCCUAUAGCUUGGAGAAAUAACUCUGCAUCUUUAGUAGGAGGUAUUGUCUCUCCUUCAGGAAGACAAGCGGAAGCCUCUACAACAGACUGCGAGUAAAACUCUUGUGAAAAAAAUGAAAGCAAAUUGUUUGAAUUGAGCUAACAUUAUUUAUAUGAAUGGAAGUACACAUUAUUAAGCAAAUGAUUUGAACUGUAACAAUUUUACAUAGUCAUUACUAACAAAGCAAACAACUUACAAAUACAGUCUCUGCUCGCUUACCGAUCCAAGAAGCUCUGUCGUCCUUCCUAGUAUAGGUCCGCUAAAAGAACUGACCCAUAGUAGGCUCAUGCCUCAUCUCUAUCGUCUAUUUAUUGAUAAUAAAAUUUUAGUACAUAAAAGAAAUAUUACUUUAUAUUCAUACUGGUGUUAUUUUCUAUUUAUCUUACCAUGCGCCUCUUAAUCUUAGAGUGCGCAAUAGAGCCCCCAGAAUGGCAUGAGGGUCUAGAUCCAUCACCUCCUUUCCCACUUUGGUCAUUUUUGGAUUGCUGAGUAGACUUUCUAAUAACCUCAGGCCUACUCAGAAUUGAUUCCAUUUUUCCCAAGCAGUUUUUGUCAUUUAUGGUGGUUUUAUCCCCCCAAUCUUAAUUUCAUGCACUAAAUCCAUGUAUCUCUCAGCUGCCUUUUUAGCAAAACUAAUCUUUACUAAAGAAGUUAUCCGUCAUCCCACUGACAAUAUUUCUACGUUUCAAGGAUAAUUUUAUAUUAUAUUAACUUACAAAAUAGAUUUUGUAUUUAUAUUAACUUACAAAAGAGAUUAAAAAUUGCAUUUCCAAUAAUUGCAUAUCAUAUGACACGUUCUAGCAACUUUAACAAGCCUAGAUACUCACUUGGAACAUCCUUUGUCUCUUUACUAACUGUCUUCCAACUUGUCCCUUCCUCAUCAAGAUGCUCCUUUAAUAUUUUUGUUAUCUUGCGUGAACAAGCACCUAAUGGGACCAAGCUGUGAAAAUAAAACAUCAAAUGUUACACAUGUCAUCUAUUACAUGUCAAACAAUAUUAAUUAGGUAAAUAUAUAUUGAAUUUAAUUGUUCAUGAAGUACUUACUUUGAUCCGUUAAGAGUAACUUGAAUGAAUGUUGGGGGUUUCCAAGUUGAAACUGUCGCCUGAGAAGCUGUAGUUUGUGACAAGGAUGCCUGUUGUGUAUUGGCUGAGGAGUGCCCUGGAGGAGGAGGUGGCACAGGAGGAGGGAGUGGAGGAACUUGUCUUGUAUCAAACGAUCCUUAGGAUGGAUGUAUUUGGUUGUACUGGCCAAGGUGUGAACCGCCCUUGCCGUCGCCCUCAUGCCUACUAGGAUCCUCGUCCUCUGCUAUCAUCAAAGCCCCUCCCUCGUCCUGGUUGAGGUGCCCUAGCCAUAUUUACCUACACAGUGGAUAAUUGCAAGUUAUAUCAAAUAGAAAUUUUUAAUAAUUGCAUAAAUAAUUGAUAGAUAAAGUAUUCAUUUUUCUUAAAUAAACUUAAAAUUACAUAUUACAGUUUGUAAAUAAAAAAAACAGUAGAAUUCACCUCUCAAAUGCUCAUUGCAGUUGCUAAUCAUUUUCGUUGUCAUCAACAACUUUAGUGUCCAAUUCUUGAUCACUAGAAUUAGAAUAAAUAUAAGGCUCAUAUGUAUCUUCUUAUUCUGAGUCAAUAAUUUGUUCUUCAAUGCCACUCGGAUCACGCAAUGCUUCUGGUAAUUCUUCGUCUCCCAAUUGUAAUUGAGCCCCAUAUGUGACAUCAGCUUAAAAUACAGAAUCAAUCGAGUGGAUUGCAUUUGAAGAUUGUUGUAUUUCCAACAUAGGUCUUAGUUUCACUUGACAAAUCGAAAUCCAAUCCAUUCUAUCUUGUCUUUUGGAUGGGGCUGGAAACAAAAUAGACUUGAGCAGCUCGCAUCACUAAGACAAAUAGUUCAUAAUUAUUAAAUCAUCUUCUCUUAUUUAUUUCAACUAUAUUGUAUCUUGCAUGUACCUUUAUUCCUAAGCUUGGAGUUGGGUCAAACCACUCAUAGUAGAAUAAAAUGGUCCGAUUAAUUGGUAACACAAGAUACUCCAAUUCUAAAACCUUAAUCAAAUAGCCGUAGAAAUCAUUUGAUCUUCAUUGUAUUUUUGAACCCUUAAUGCAUACCCCCACUAUUCAUACUCUUCCGACUUGAUGCUUGUGCUUCUGUGUGGAAUCUAUACCCAUUGAUAAAAUAUCCAUUUUAUCCAUUCAGAGUACGAAGAGGCCCCUUUGCAAGGUCUUUAAUGAAAUCAUUUGUGACCACAUUGUAUGGAUUGUGGACAUAUAGUAGAUAUUAUCAUACAUAAGACAUGUCGCAUAUUUCAAAUUUUACGAAGAUAAUUGCUAAUAAAAGAUUGUGGAACUUACAUAUGAUUUAAACCAAGUUGCAAAGUCCUCCUCAAGGAUUGCAUUAACCUCUUCAUCCGUGAUGUUUGGAGCAUAGCGACAUAGCUCAGAAACAUAUAUUCUUUUAACAAUAAGUAGAAAAUUUUGUUAGCGUUAAAGAAAUUCAGCUAUAUUAGUCAAAUUUAUCCAUUGUAUAAAUUUCGAUAACUCACUCAACAAAAUUUGAAACUUCACAUAAUUAAGAAAAAUAUAUAUCUGAGCAGCACGAAUCUCUUGCUCCGUCAAUAACCUUUUCUUGGUUUACCAAUAGGUCUCCCUGGAUAGGUGAAUAUGGACAAAUUACCUUCUAAUUCAUUACCAUUAUUUGCACCACCACCAUCAUUGCGUGGCACUUUACGACGUCAAGUGUAAACAUGGGGCUCAAAGUAGUGCGCAUAAAAUAAUGAUGCCUCUUCCACCAAAGCCUUGUUUUUAACAUUUUUCUUCAGAUAUCCAUUACACAACCAAAUAAAGAAAAUAUAUUUUGAUCAAGUGAGUGUAAAAUGAAGUUUAUUGACGUACCUCUUAAAAUGAUACAUCCAUCGGUAUUAAGCAGGUCUUGCUAUCUUUGCUUCAAGUGUAAUGUGAACCAGUAAAUGCUCCAUUCAGUCAAAGAAACUAAGAGGGAAAAUAUGCUUAAGUUUGCAUAGGAUUAUAGUAAUUUCUCAAUGGAGACGUUCCAUAUCUUCCACUAGUAGAAUAAUACUAGUUUGAUCUCUGAAAAAUAGGCUAAUUUCUGUAAUAGCCUCCUAUACUUUUCCUUCCAACAAAUCCUUAAAGGCAAUUGGAAGCAACCAUUGCAUGAAAACAUGACAAUCAUGGCUUUUCAUACCAAAUAGCUUGUAUUUAUUAAUGUCAACACGAUGACCCAAGUUUGAAUACUUUCCCGCAUUUUUAUCCAAAGUGUAGCAUGCUUUAGGAUACUUUCCCAUUUGUGGGUUUUGCUCCAACUCAGGCUGAUGACAUAUCGACUUCAUAUCUUCUCUUGCCUUUGCAUUUAUUUUCCCUUCUAUAUUCAUAAUGGUGUUGAAGAGGUUAUCAAAGAAAUUCUUCUCAAUGUGCAUAACAUCGAGAUUGUGUUGAAUUAGAAGAGAACUCCAAUAAGGUAAGUCCCAUAAUAUGCUUUUCUUUCGCCAUCUGCAUUUCUUACCUAUUGCAACAUUUACAUCAUCAAAACCUGUCUCGGUCACUUUCAUUAGGCCUAGUCAAUCAAUUUCAACCAAAAUCUAUUCACCUAUUUUCAGCGGAGGUGAAGAUUGUGUGAUGUUGAUAUUCUUUAUAAAGAAAUUCUUAUUAUGUCGCUAUGGAUGCUUGAUAGGGAGAAAUUUCCUACGAUUACCAAACCAAGUUUACUUUCAGCAUCAAUAAAAUAAAGAGAAAAUAAUAAAAUUACCUGUGACUGGAGAAGAAAGGGACGGUAGAAUUUCCAGCAUCAAUGGAGGUCGAUCAUCCAAGCCCACAAUGACGACAAUAGAGGGAGAGUCACGAUGAAAGAGGAAAAUUUGGGAAAGAAAAGGACACUGACGGGUUUUUCAAAUAAAAUCCCUAAUUUUUCUCCAUCAAAUAUACCGACAACCAUUCCGUCAAUAUAUUAAACCAUUUGUCGGUAACAUCUUUAAAAAAUUUUAACACAUAUAAAUAAUUUUUUCCGACCACCUAGUCCGUAAGUAAACCAUCGAUAAACUAAUUUUACAAAAUUUAUCGACGAACAGGUUUAGUCGGUAAAACAAACCAAUCAAUUGUUUAGUAUUUCGUAGGUGAUCGGUCCCGCCAAUUUUUGGCGUGAGCUCUAAGAACGACUUGCCAAUGGAUGUAGUGGUGGUCAGUAAUUACGAACAGAUUAGCCAUGAUUGUCCGUCAGGAAAAAUUUUCGAAUAAUGAAUUAUUGCUCAUAUUUGUUACCAUUGCUGAUUAGUCUCUGAGUUGUUGGUAAUCACCAACGACCAGUGUCCGUCAAUAAAUUCCAACGGUAAUGGCCAUUUUUCUUAUAUUGCAUGACAUAUGCUCAUAUAUAGCAUUUCUAUAAGUAUACAUAUUUUCAUAGGUAAACAUAUCAAUUCAUGUAUGCAUAAAUGUAAAUGCAUGAGCGAUGCAGAUUAUCUAACACUACUCAAUUUGUUUUUAUUUUUCAGAAACUAUACUUCCUCUGCCGGCUCUUCUUAAUCGAAAUAUUGGUUUUUAUUCUAACCUAUUAGCUUAACUUUUAUAGAAUCCUCUACUUAUUCUAACCUUAUUACUAUUUGAACCCUAUUACAACACUAAUAAUAAUAAUGAUGAUGACUAUUAAUAAUGUCUCUAGUAUUCAAUUUCCAUCGAUUAUUAAACUAUUCUAGGUUUUAGUAGGCAUUUUGCCAAAAAUCCAGUAGUAUUUUCUCUAAAAAUUGGGUUUACUGCUUUGAUUAAGUAAUAAAGUAAGUCAGCACAUCUAUCGGACAAAUCAACCUCGUUCAUAAGUCCGUCAUUCGUUAUCACAUCUUUAGCUUAAAUUAAAAUCAACUCCUUCACAUCAAUGGUUAAUCAAAUCCAUAGCCAAUGCACGUACAUGAACCUCAUCAAGGACAUAUUAAACAAUCCAAUUUCCUUAUUUACUCAAUAUUCAAUUAGUAACUCAUAGAUAUCGAAUUCUAUUCUAACUUAAACUAAUUUAGCUAAAAUAAAUUAUUAGUACUUAAUUAAAUUCAACUAAUAUUUAAGCCACUACAUCAAACUAAUUGCAAGUAAAUCAUACUAAGAAAUUCUAAUUGAAAAUUUUAAAAAAAUGUAGAGUCGAAAUCUAAUGUUUACCAAUAGAGAAAUCGCCUAGAUAGUCACAACUUAUGCGUGACUGCGAAAAAUUUUGCCUUCGUGACUUGUCAGGGUGUCAUUGGUGCUGCAAUCGGACUACCAUCGCAUGACGGCUGCACAAAAAAUUUUGCCCACUGCGGACCAAAAUGAUCGAAAUUUCAUGAGGACUCUGAUUAUGCUACUAAUUUCUAGGAAAUUGAACAUUAUCGUCAAAAACCUCAAAAUUUUCCAAUUUAAAAACCUAGAAACUUCAAUCUACUAAUUAUUCUCUAUUUUCCUUAUUUUUGCUAUUUGGUUUACUAUUGAAAUGCUCAAUAAUUAAUUUUUUUUUUUGAAUUUUUUCUUUUAUUUAUCAUGUUGAAAUGGAACUAUAAACUUCUCUCAUUUUCAUUAUGAUUAUCAUGCACAUUUAAUUGUAUAGUUUUGCUUUCAUUUAUUUAUUUUCAUUAUUUUGUUUUAUUUAUUUAUAUAUUUAUUUAUUAAAGUAGAUAAAUAUAUAAUAUUGAAUAACAUUAAUUGCAAUAUAUAUAUAUAUUAAAUGGUGUAAUAAUAAAAACUUUAAAAAUAAAUCUAUAUUUUUUAAAUAAAUUUACCCAAUCCGACCCAUGCCCUGCCCUGUCUCGACCCAUAGUGGGGCCAAUAGUGAGGUGGGUAUUACAUAUUGCUUUAUAAGGUCAAGGUGGAUAAUGCAAUACCCAAUUCAUACUCGAUCCAUUGUCAGCUCUAAAUCCAACCCAUGUACUAAUCUUCUAAUUAUAAGCGUAGCUUUUAAAGCUUAACUAAAGGCACUACAAGGAAGGAGUUGAAUUAUAAAAGUUUAACAUUUAUAAUUAAAUUAGGUGAAAGUCGCGCUUUGCAUAGAUGGCAUCAAAUCAAAGAAAUAAAUACUAAUAGUUAGCAUAAAAUUAUGAUAUUACGAUUGCACUUAAGCUUUAUAUAAGUAUGUAAAGAAAUAUAUAAAUAUAGAUAGAUAUAUUAAAAUUCUUAAAUAUUUCAAUUUUAUAUUCAAAAUUAAAAUCUUGGUUAUUUUAACAUAAUUUUAGUAAUUUUAAAGUGCAAAAUCUAUGAUUCCAAUGAAUUAAAAAUAAAUAAACCACAAUAUUUACUCAAUUGAGCUUUUAAAUGAUUUAAAUUCAUACAAGCAAUAAGCAUAUUAAAAGCAAUCAAAUUCAAACCUAAAAAAAUUAAUAAAAUACAUUCAAUUUCAUCUAUUUGAUUAUAUUAAAUCAAUUUUCUGUUGAGCCUGCUUUAACUUUUGCCUUUUACCAUAUCAAUCUCCAACAUAGCUUGGUCACUUGACCAUAGUAAUAACUAAUUUAUGAUCAAAGAAAUAAAAAGGUAAGGUGAAAAACUAAAAGCUCUUGUGCAAUAAAAUUCUAAAAGGCACAGUCAGUGGCAAAAGCACAUACAGUUGAGGGGUGCAUGACUUAAAAAUUUUUUCUAGGUAGCCAAAUAUUUAUAAAGUUAAACCUCUUAAAUCUUUAAAUUUAUAAUUUGUAAACAUCUUUAAGUGCCUUUUAAAGUAUAAAAAGAUUGAUUUGAUGUAGAUUUUUUAAUUAAAUAAUAAUGCAAAAUUAGUAAUUCUUUUUUUGUCUAAUUUUGGCCCAUUCUUAUAUUCGGUGAGAGGACAACUGUAAUUUUUUUUAAAAAAUGACAUUAUUUUUUUUAGUAUGAAUGAAAGUGGUAGAUUUUUAUUACAUAAUCCAAUUCAUUUUAAAUUUUGUACAUUAAAACAAAUAUAUUAUACAUGAGUGUCCUCCUUAAACCUAGAGUCCUAAUUUCGCCACGGGUAUAAUACACAUUAUUUGAUGCUUAUAAAGACAAUAGCAUAUAUGGCUAUGAUACCAUAUCAUAAUUGAUAUAGCUUCUCUUUUUUUUUUAAUGAAUAAAGCAACACGAAAUGCUAUAGCUUGAGUUACUUCAUCCUCUAAUUUCCAGCCUAGCUUGAUCACCUAAGCAUUAACAGCCUACACAUGUCACCGAAGCAGAAGAAGAUAUGUUAGUCCUCAAGGGAAGGGGCACAAAAAGAGAAAUUGCUUUAUACUUAUACCACCCAUGAAUUUACAGAAUUAUAUUAAUAAAUAAAACUCUUAUAUGGAGAUGAAGAAAUAAAUAAAUAAUGUAAAUAAUAAAAUGUAGAAUUAAAGAUGGGUUAUCACCUUUGCAUAAUAAUUAGGUGGAUUGUACAUACAUUUUAUGAUAGUUUUAAGUACAUUUUGAAAUUCUUUGGAGUUCUUCUUGAUUGACUACAAAAUCGAGAUUAAAAAAGAAAUCAUUAAUUUAAAUUAUACCCAAAAGAAAUAGAAUUAUGUAAAUUAGUUGAAUUAUAAAUAAUUAGAGAUCACUUCUUCACUAGCUGUUGAACCUCUUACCAUGAAGUCUCAUGAAGUCUCAUGGUUAACAUCUGAUCGGUAAGCCUCAUAUGAUGAGGCUAAUGCCAAAAGAAUCUGAAAGUAGCAACCAUCAUUGUUUUUUCCCUAUAAAUAAACAUUCACACCAAAUAAUUGUACAUACGAAGUGCAAAUGCUAAUAAAAAAAUGUCGUUGAAUUCAAGAUUUUACCUUUUGGCAGGGAUGGGGUGGCUCAAGAUUGAUAUGAAGUGCAAUGUUAACAUAUUUUGCUAAAUUUCACCUCUCUGAUGGAUGAUCUUUAGGAUCGAGUGCUGGAAAGAUUUUAUUGAUUUCGCUUUUUCCUCAGAUUAUUUAAAUAGUUUUCAGCUUUUUUAUUUCAAAAAAAAAAAGGAAAGAACCCUUCAAGUAAGGAAAAAGUUAAGUGACCAAUAGGAAAAAGAAAGAGAUAAAGAUAGUUUCCCCAUUUAAAGUUUUGAACAGACGAUCUCAAAAAUUUAAAUUUAAUAUGUUGUUUUAUUGUAGAUAAUCUAUAUAAAUUAUGCAAACAAAGACAUAGUCUAGUGAUAGUGAUGAGUAUAUAAACGAUUUGACAAUAGAUCCAGGUUUGAAUUACUCGUCUCUAUACUCAUAUAUAUAUAUAUAUAUAUAUAUAUAUAAUUUUAUAAUUAAUCCAAUUAAAUUACAGUAAAAAUUAUUGUAAAAAACGAAAAAGAAAUGUUAAGAUAUGCACUAAAAAUUAGAAAAUUUAUAAACAAAGGAAACUAAAGAAACUAAAAAGGAGAAUGUCACGUCAGCUUUUUAGAGUUUUUUUUUUUUCUUUAAAAUUUUAUAUAUACUAGGCGAUCCUCUGUGCUUUGCACGGUAUGUAAUUAUAUAUUUCAUUUUAAAUAUAAGAUAUAUAUAUAUAUAUAUGUGGAGCAAAUUAUAGAAAUUCAUUUUUUUUAGAAAAAAAGUGACUUGAAUUAUUAUUAUAUAUAUAGUCUUGUAGAUAUUUAAAAUAAUUUAAAUACUUAAUUUUUAUUUUUGUGGAGAUUUAUCUAAUUGGAAGUAUAUAAUUAAAAAAAUCUAUUAAAACAUAAUGGUUAAUUCAUCAUUGCAUAAAACAUAUUUAAAUCCUUUGAAAUUGUAUACACUUAAAUCCCUGCAAAAAUAAACAAAAUAAAACUAAGCUAAGAAAAAUAUAAAAUGAAAAUGAAAAAACAAAACCAAGUAAAUAACUCAAACAAAGUAAUGAAAUGCCGCAAUAUUAUUCUUUCAACCGACGAUAAACUGAAGAAAUUAAAGUAAAGAAUUAAGCUAAACUUUCAACAAUAGAAAGAAAUCUAAAAAUUUUAAAAAAUGAAAAAUAGAAUAGUGAAUAAAAAAAGAAUCUUGAACUUUUUGUUUAUAUAUAACUAUAUAUAAAUAUUCAAAUUCUCAAUCAGAAAGAAAAAGAAUUUUUUAAAAAAUAGAUAGCUUUUUUUAUGAUAAAUUAGAUAUAAUCAUAUAAACAAUAGAUUAAUUUGAAGGUCUCAAAUAUUAUUGACUUGAAAAUAUUCAACUUAUCAUGAGAAAAAAACAAAACUUGUCACCUUAUAAUUUACUCAAAAACUGAAAAUUAUAAUUAAACAAACCAAAAUAAAAAUAAUAAAAAAAAGAAUAAUAUUAACCAUCUUAUCUUUUUUUUUUUAAAACUGUAUUUUGUAAUGUGUAUUUUUGAAACAAAGGGUUUUUUUUAAUAUGUUUAAAAUUAUUAAAAUUUUAAACAUAUUAUACUCGAUUAGAAGUUUAGACUAUAUAAAAAUAAAAAUUUUUAUAUUUGUAAGUUAUGAAAAUUUAAAGAUUUAGACAUUGUAUUGUUUAUUGUAUUGUUUUUUAUGGCAGGUUUGAUUUCUAUAAACAAAAAUAUCAUAUUUGAUUUGAAUUUAAAAAUUAAUAAAAAUCUUUAAAUAUAUUUAAAUUAUAAAAAUCUAAAAAUAUAAUUGAAAUAUAUAUAUAUAUAUAUAAAUCAAAUACUCAAAAUCUAUUCAAUCUCAUUUUUUAGAGGAAGAGCCGCAAUAGCACGGGAGAAAAACCCAUUGAGUCUCCUUUCUAUAUAUAUUUGGGCAAGUCUUAUUAGUCAUCUUUAUCUGGGCUUUAGCCCAACUAGUGAAAGCCCAAAGCAAAUUUCAUGUAAUAAUUUGAGAUUUGAUAUGCAAUCGCCCAAAACAUGAUUUUUAUAUCAUAAUCACGUAAUUGUUGUAGCAUAACCUAAAUUUGAUUAUUACCCCCUUUUAUACAUCAUCUUUAGUCGGUUUACUUGAAUUUGAAGAUCUGUUAAAGUAUAAUUUGAUUACAGUAUAAUUUAUUCAAUUUAAUAAUUACCCUAUUGUUGGUUUCUUUCAAUUGGGUUUUUCUUGAAUCUUUAUUAGAAAUUAUUAUUAGAAAUUAUGAAACUUAAGAAUUAACAAUUGGCUGUUAAUAUAAAAUUCUUUUGCUAUAGUGGGAAACAUUUCCCUCGAAGUACGAGGACAGGAAAUUGUUUCUUAUAGUCUACAGUCUACUGAAAGAAAGGAACUUUUCACCUUGAGUUGUUAAAAGGGUUUUGAUGAUUACAUGCUUUCCUUGCAAUUAGGCACAAUUAAUAGAGAGCAAAACCACACAUAUGCAUGACCAUUUUUUGAUUUCAAAUUAGAAUGAAGUGGAUUAAAAUUGAAAUCAGACUUUACGGUGUUGAAAAUCAUGAACAAAUGAUUUAGAAUUAGAACUAACAGUCUCGAUUUAAAAUUGUGGCAAUGCCAAUUUAAGACCGUAAAAGUAAUUAAAGUAAUUUCUUAUUUUGUUACACUGUUUUUGAAACAAAAUCAUAAUGUUUUUUAUACAUUAAGACAUAGUUUAUUGGUAAGUGUAUAUACGAUCUAGCAAUAGAUCCGAGCUUAAAUUCCCCCUCCCCCAAUACUCAAAAAUUAUAAAACCAUUGAAGAGCAAUUUGAUUUUGAUUUCAACCUUUUGGAAACUUUAACAGAGAGUUAGGAACUCAACGUUCAUGCUUGCUUAUACACUGAAACAGAAUGAAGCUGUUCAUAUAUUCGAGAAGAUCUGAUAAAGAAAAAUGAAUAUACUAGAGAGGUCAGCGUGCUAGAGUAAUGACCGUUUGUUCCUUUUUUUUUACUUUGUUUUUCUUCUUAUUUUCAGAUGUUCCUUUUGGAUCAAGUCUUGUAGGGUACCCAAUUUUUUACAUGAUUGUUUCUCUUAAAUGUGUUUGUCUGCUAUUAUCAUAGCAACUCAAGAGAAUCCUUGCAGUCACUAAGAUCUCUUUUCCUCCUAUGUUCUUUUGAUUUCUCUUUCUUUCUGCCCCUUUUUGGUUAUAAGACUCAUAUUGUAUUGAAAUUCAUGACUACUUUUUCCCAUGAGUACUUUUUAUAGAUCAAACUUCAAAUCAUAUAGAGCUUAUUCAUUAGAUUCAAACGUGUCUUACCACUUAAGUCACUCUUUAUAAAUUUAUAUGUCUUGAUUUUAAAGCCAUAUAUUUUUAUAUUUCAACUUAUUAUCAAGGUACAACAUCCACCCAGAUCCUAUGUUUGAAUGAUUUUUACACAUCAUUUAUCAAGCAAUUUCAUCUCUGUGCCAUUGUCAUUCAUAAUAGUUCCUUGCUUUUGCUUUCAGGUAUACACAAGUGGGUUUCUUUGACCUUUGUUUAAUCAAAUAACUGCAAUUUGACAUGAAAAUUGGAAGGUAGUAUAUCUAUCUUUAAAGUGUUUGUUGAAAUGUCUAAUUAGAUAUUAUGAUGCUAAUCAUGUACCACAUUGCAAGAGUUUGUGGAUGGCCCCUUCAUUUGUCUACAACCCCAACUUAUAAUGGUACUUUUUUUGGAUGCUAAAAGUGUGAUUAAUCAGUGAGUGACUAAAAUUAGUUUCAACAGUUGGAAAAUACUUGUUUAGACCGGGGCUAUAAGCCACUUAUGGACCAAACUAAUAAAACUAAAGAUUUUCUAAAAAGCGUUCCGACUUUAUAUUUUCAAGUUUAUGAUCAGAAAUAGUCUCGUUUCAAUAAAAAUUUUUAAUUUCACUGAUUUGGUUCAUACAUGAGGUCAUAGCUCCGAUUUAGAUAAGUAUUUUCCGAAAGAUUUAAUAAGUAUCGAGGCUUUUUACCUCACAAAAAAAUGACUCAAAUUUAUUAAAAAAUGUAUAGAGGCAAAAGAAGGAUUGCCAUAUUAAAAAGCUGCUGGCCAAAAUGGAGAUACUCAAAAUCCAAAAAUUGAACACUCUUGGUCAUCAUUUAAUUGAUUGAUGUAGUUUAUAUCUUUAAUGGAUAUGAAAUUUAUCUUGUACUCUAUCCUUUAAUGGACUUAGAUUGUAUUUUAAAAAAAAAAAAAAAAGAGAGAGAGAGAGAGAGAGAAAGUGAAAAAGUCAAGUUGUAUUAAAUAAGUAUCUGAAAGUAGAUUUUAUAUUUAAUACACUAGUUUAUAUUAUCGUAUUGUGGGUAAUACUACAGUUGACAAAUCUUUCUUAUUAUUAAGUAUGAAUAUUGAAUGUAGAUAUAUGGCACAAAUAAAUAAAUAUACUUUAUUAUAUUAAUUUUCCGACAAUUUCAACGUUGAUGAAGACCUAAUGUGCUUCUAAAUUUACUAAUUUUGGUAUAGUUUUUGAAGCAAUAAUUUUUAUAUAUAUUUCUUGACCUUAUAAUGUUCUUUUAAUUAAUUUAAUUUUACAAAUUGAAGUGUUUAAUAGAUAUAAAUUUAUAAGCUAAAACGUUUGAUGUGUCAAAGUAAAAGUUGAGGAUGCUAUUAAAGGCAUGUAACAUACCGACUGAACCGCAUCGACUCAGUUCGAUUAGCUAAAUAAAGCAAGGUUCGGUUGUCGAUUUAUUCGGUUUGAACCGAAUUUAUAUUUCAAUUUAAUGGUUUCAUAGAAAUCUGUCAGUUGAGUUUAAAAUCAAAUCGAAAUGACAAAAUCGAUUAAAAUUAACCGAACCAACUGGUUCAGUUCGGUUUAGAAAGCAAUUUUGGUUCGGUUCAGUCUAUUGACAAAAAAAACUUCAUUUAUAUUUUUUUAUUCCGUUUGCUCACCCCUAAACGUUAUAAAAUUAAAAUAAUAAAAUUUAAUAGUAAAUUUAUACAUUCAGCCUAAGAUAUAUGUAAAUAUAAUAUGUAAAUAUAAUACAACAUAAGUGUCUCGUUGAAAGUUAAAUCUUGAUAUUCAUGUCUAUAUAUAGUAAAGGAUUAACCGUAGAAACUCUAUUAUAGUUAUAAGGUGUGGAUUCCAUUCAUAUGUUGACCUAAUAACCGCGUUGUUUGGCAUAUUUAAUACAUUUAGAAAAUCUUGUUGGGAUUUGUUUUCUUCUUAACAACAAAUAUCUUCAUUUAAUAAAAAAACAUCUUAAAUGAAAUCAGUCCUGCCUAACACCAAAAAACCUCAAUCUACACAAAGACUGAAGAAUUUCAAUUUAGGUGGAAUAUUGAAAAUAUAACGAGUCAUUAAUUAUCAUGGACUUGUCAAAUUUUAACGGAUUUGUCAAAUUUUUUCUAUUUUGUUGAUAAAAAAAAUAUUCUCUCCGUCCCAUUUUGUUUACUUGUUAUUCUUUUAUUGGGCGUUUCAAAAUGUUUAUAAAAUUUCUAAAUUUAGACAUGUAAACAAUUAUUUUUCUUAAAAUAACAUUUAUGAUUCUUCAUUAAAUGAGAAACUUUUAUUAAUAUCUUUAAUGAGUUAAGAGUAAAAAAUGGCAAAAUAAUUUUUAUCGAUUAAAUUCUUAAUAUACGUGUUUUGUCAAAUCAUGCAAACAAAAUGGGAAGAGGGGGAGUAUAUUAUAAUUUUGGAAUUGAUAAAUUCUAUCGUGACCCUAGUUCAACCAUUUGAAUAAAGGAAAAAUCCAUCUUUGAAUGUGAGAUUUCUCAAUUUUAUCAUUUUUUCAUUUAUGAUAUAAUUUAAACCGGAGAAAAAAUUAAAUUGGUCCUUGAGUUAUACUCAAAAUAAUACAUAAGGACCUCUAUUUUUAAAAGUUAACUAUGAAAUCCAUAAGUUAUGAUUUUGUUAACAUGUUAGUCCUUCCAUAUGAAAUAACCUCUUUUAACUCUCAACUAGUCCUUUUUAUAACGUGCCUUGCAUGUUGAAUACGCUUGUUACAUAUUUGUACUCUUUUUAUUUUUUUUAUCUAUAUAAUAUUAAAGCAUAAGUUUUUGUUUAGAUUAAAAUAAAUAUAAUUACUUAAUUUGUAUUAGACUUUGUCGUACAAGUUACUUAUAAUGUUGCUUCUUACUUACUUAAUUCUAUUUUUUUAUAUAUAUAAUAAAGUGGUCUCAAAAUAAAAUUUAAUCCAAUCCUUAGACAUAAUCCUUUAUUUCCUAAUUUAUAAAUGCAGAUUCACCUUAAUAAGUGCCAAAAAAAAAUUAAGUCAUCACUCAAUCUCCAACCUCCUGCCGUUAACCCCAAAUCAAUAUUUAUAUACAACUAUAAUGAAAAAUAAUAAUAAAUUAUUUUUACUGCAAGGUAAAGAAAAGAAAUGAGUAGAUGAUCUGAAUUAGUAAUGAUAAUUACUUUAGCUCCAGUGACAGUAUUACUUACCCAGUGCAUUAGAGAAAUAAAUAUAUACACAUAUACGCAAACUCUUGAAACCCCAAAAAAGUGACCCACAACAGAAAUAUAUUUUUUUAGUUUUUUUUCCAAAUUUAUAAACAAUUUGUUUUUUCAAUCAAACAGAUUUAGAAUAUAAUAGAAAAAAUAUUUAAUCACAAAAGGUCAUCUAUUUAUUACAAGGGAGAUAUAAAUCUCUUCCUAAAUUAAAGUGAUAGUAGUUAUAAAUUAAUUCAAUAAUGAAAAAGAAAAUAAAAAAUAAAUUUUUUUUAUUAAGAAUAGAACUCUCUCAACGUAUAACAAGAAAUAAAUUACAUUAAAAAAAUUACCAAUUUGAAUUUCAAAAAUCAACCCCUUCUUACUAUAAUUUAAUUAAAUUUGAUGUUAAUAUACAAAAAAAAAAAAAAAAAAAAAAAAAAAAAAAGAACAACAAAGAUUAUAGCCAAAUCAGCAAAUGAAAAUUAUAAAGCAUAUAAUGCUAGGAUCUAAUUUUGUUUUUCUAUUUUUCUAAAUUGCAAAUUUAAAAUAAAUAAGUUAAUUAAUUAAUAAAAAAGAUUAUAAUUUUGUUUCUCUAUUUUUCUCUACAACCAUUUAAGAAAAAAGAGUAUUUUUUUUCUUUUUUAUUAUCUAUAUAUAUUUAUUUUAAAAAAUAAUUUUUAGAAAUUAUAUCGGAUCAAAUAAUAAUAUGUAAUUUUUCUUUUUUGCCUUAACCACAGGCUCUGCUCGCACUAGGUCAGCCUAAGAAGGGGCAAAGUGCUGCCAGUGAGUAUUUACUCCCAGUGAGCAUAGAACCCUCGAUCUCUCUUAAGGAAAAAGGGGGAAGAGUGUUGAACCACUCAUCCCAACGCUCAUUGGUAUAAAAUGUAAUUUUCUAAUUAGUUAAUACUAAUGCUAUUUUAGGAUAUUCUAAAUUUCAUUAGAGAAUAUCGAAAAUCUCACUAUUCGCCUCUAUUCCCACAUUUAUAUAUAGUAUAAAUUGACUAAGAAAUUGAUCCCUAAAUUAUAAUCAAAAUAAAUAUAAGGUCCAUAACUUAUGGUUUUGUUAACACUUUGGUCUUUCACUUACAAUUUCAUAUAACACUUUGGUCCAUCUGUUUUGGACGGAAAGAUCAAAGUGUUAAUUUAAUAACACAUAAUUUAGAGACUUCAUAGUUAAUUUUUGAAAAUAAAAAUUUUUAUACAUUAAUUUGACUAUAACGUAGGGACCAAUUUAUUGCUUUUCUUUUAAACCACUUAAUUUUAUUCUAAAAAUACAUUUUAAAUCUAUAAAUUUUAUUUCCUAACUAAAUAAUAGAAUGUGAAAUAUAUGAAUUUCAUAUUCAAUCGAACUAAAUACUUUACAAGAGACCUCCUCCAUUCUCUUUAAGAUUUGUUUGAUUUCAGAAAAGAAAUACUUACUUUAAUGGGACAAGAUUGUAAAAAAGAGCUUACUACUUGAGAUCGAAGAAAGAAUCUUCAAGGAAGUUGCCCUUAUUGCCUUAUUUUGGAUUUUCAUUAAUUCUAUUUUUGUUUGCAAAGGAGGAAGGCGACUCAAAUUGUGUAUUUAUAAAAAAAAAUGCAUGUUCUGAUUAGUUGUUUUUAACAUAAAUAUAUAAUCCGUACCCUAAAGUUGUUACGUGAAAUUCCAAAAAAAAAAAAAAAAAAAAAAAGGAACAGUUGGUACGUUAUAUAUAAAUUGCAUCAUGAAAAAAUAAACAAAUAAAUUGCAUUAUUCAUCUAGAAAUUUAUGAAGUGAUUAAAGAAGUUAAAGCUUUAUUUGCAUUAGUUGGUUCAUCACAUGAUGUGUUCUAGAAAGUUAGAGACCCUUAUGAAAGAUUUCCUGGGAAGAAUGAAUAGUUCCAUUCUAAAGAAAAGAAUGAUUCUUACUUUGCUUCUAUUUCUUUCCAAUACAAAAUUCUUACUUUUCACUUUUUCUGUUGAUUGAACCAAAAUUAACUAAAGAAUGUUUUAAAAUACAAGAAUAUACCUCAUAAUGCUAUUUAUUCCCACAACUUCUCCAUUAAUUUAUUGUACUCUUUGAUAUGUUGUUAUAAUAAUAAUAAUAACAAUAAAUAAUAAGAUAAAAGAUUUUAACAAAAAAAAUGUACGUUUAGAAGGAGAAUGUGAAAAAUAAAAUAAAGAUACAUUAUAAUUUAAUUAGAACCCUUUAAAUAAUAUGGAAAAUAUCGGUUUCAAGUCUUUUUCACUGUAAAAAUUAUUACCAAUUUGAUAAAUUGUAUUCAAAGAGAGAGCUGCCUUUGAUAUCUAGCUCGUAAUAUUCUUCCAGUCUAUCAUGCCUUAUAUAAAUUUUAAAAAAACAAGGUUAAUUAGGAUAAUAGAAUUUUCUUUUUGUAUUUAUUUAUCUAUAAUUCAAACUUGGAAUUGAGUCUUUAUUAUUUUUGUUAGCCAACGUAGUUCUUUUUUUAAAUGUAAUUCAUUAAUAAUAAUAUCGAGAAUUACAAAUAAACAUAUAAACCAAACAUAGAAUUUUACUAUUAAUAACUAAAAGAGUUUGCAGAUCUUUUAACAAAAUAAAAGAAUUCAUAUCAUUUUGAAUAAUGAAACUAAAACUAAAAAUAUAAUAUUAGAUCUUUCCGCUUAGAGUUGAUCUUGACAAAAGAUAUAAAUCUUCAUAGUUGCAACUAGUCCGUCAAUUGAUUUGGACAUCAAAAUAAUAACUACUUUAGAUCAUCUAUAACUGGAUUGCUUUUUCAAUAAUUUGCUAAAUAUGACUACAGAUGAAUUUCCGCUGCUAUGCGUCAAAAAAAUUAAUGGAGGAACAGGCUGCAGUAGCAUGCUUCAUUGAUUGAAGAUCCACACCUACAAAUCAAGAUAUAAAGUCUUCAACCAAAUAAAAUGAAAUAUCAUAGUUUUAUUUCGUAAUAAACCCUCGCAAAGAAGGAACUAAAAAAAUUCAAAUAUGGAAAAAACCAACAAUAAUAAAAUAAUAAAGACAGAUCUGUUAUAGGAAAAACAGAGAUGAAUUUAUUAAAACAAAAGGAUAUUAAAUUCAAAAAAAGUGAACCGAAAGAUAUAGUAGAAAGUAGGAGGUAGGGGUAGCCCCAAAUUAUAUAUAUUGGGAUGGUUGAUAGUUACGUGUGUGUGUAUAUAUAUAUAUACACACACACAACUAUCAACCAUCCCAAGCAGCCUUGGUUAUUAACAAGAAAUAAUUUUUUUCUUUAAUUUUUUAAUCUCAUGUAAUGGUUUUUUUUUUUUAAUUACAUAGAUGAAAUUAACACGAAAUGUGUUGUUGUGAUGCGAAAGUUUUUUUUAUAAUAUAUAUAAUCUUGAAAAAAAAAGUUUUUCAAAAAACUUUCUUGACACUCUCUCCUUUAAGUAUUUCUAUCUUUCUUUUUUUUAUAAAUUUUAUUAUUUUAUAAUUAAUUUUUAAAUAUUUCUUUUUCUAAAUUUAAUCUAAUAUAUACAAUAUCUAAAAUUUUAAAUAAUUAAUACUUUAAAAUUUUUAAAAUUUUGAGAUUAAAACUUUUAAAAUUUUUACAUUUUUUUCUUAUUUAUAUCUAUCCAUAUGUACCUAUAUCUAUCUAUCUAUAUAUACCUCAAUUUCAAUGAUUUUCUUUCAAAGUGGUUUUCUUUUGUUUCUUUUGUUGCUUUUCAGAUUUCUGAGUUAUGGUUAUUACUUUAUUUCUUUAUAUAUGUGUGUGUUCAAUUCAAAUAUGUCAUUACCUUCUUCUUUGAUUGAGGUAAUGUUAAUUCUUUUAUCUCUUUUUUUCCUUUUUAAGAUUAUUUAACUUUUCGUAUAAUUUUUUAUGGUCUUUUUUUUUUUUUUUUUUUUACAUCCCAUGACUUUUCUCCUCUUUAAUCUUAUUCUUUAAUAAUAUUUUUCUUUGUUACGUCAUCAAUCAUAUUUGUGUAAGUGCAAGUGUGAAAAAUAUCAUGUUAACAGAGACGAAGAUAAAGAAAAAACUAACUACAAAUUCAUUUAUGUAUUGUUUUAUAUUUAUUAUAUUUUUAGCAAAUCGUAGAAAACUAUAAAUUGUAAGUUUUUUUCAUUCAUUGCUUCACAUUCAUAUAUGUUUAUGUAAAUUUUUAAUUAUUUUUAAUUAUUUUGAUUCAUGUGUUAUUAUUAUAAUAAUAUAUGUUUUGUUUUUGUUCUUCAAUUAUUGAGUUAGUAUACUGCUUACAAUUCAAGUAUUUCAUAUUAAAAUUGGACAUAGAAAUAUAAGUACAAUCUAUAUUUUUAUUUAUUCAUUCUAUUAUUAUUAUUUUACCAUUUACAUCAAAGAGUAUAUAUAUAUAUAUUACAUUAUUUAAAAGUAAAAAAGAAAAGCAAUAUUAAAUUUAAUAAAAACAUAGUUAAAAUAACAAAGGAUCUCAUAAAUUAAAAAAAUAAAUGUAUUUAAUAAAUUAAAAAGGAAAUGAGAUACCUUAUUAUUUAUAAUUAAAAUAAGAUUCUUAUCUAAAUUUUAAUUUUAUUAUCUGAAUAUUAAAAAAAUAUAUCUAAUAAUUAUAUUUUAAAAAUUAAUAUUUAUUUACAAUAAGUAUCUAAAUCUAUAUUUCAAAUUUGAAUUUUUAAUUUUUUUAUUAUAUUCCUUAACAUAUUUUUUUAAAAUUUAAAAAUUAUUAGUUAUUUAAAAUAAUUAACAAUAUUUAUAUUUGAAUUUUUGAAUUUUUUUUUAGAUUGAAUUGUUUAUUUUUUGUGUUUAUUUAUUUGUAAUAAUUAUCUAUGUUUAAUUUUUUUUAAAAGAGGAUCUACUUUUAUAUCUAUAUAUCUUUAUUAUUGUAUUUAUAGAUAGAAUUUUUCUGUAUGUCUUUCAAAUUUAUUAUUUUGCAAAAAAUUUUAAUUAAUACUUAUGUCUAGACUUUUAUAUCGUAUGUAUUUACCCUAUUUUAGUUUUUAAUAUACUUUUUAUAAUUUUUUUUUAUUUUUUUUCAUUUCUCUUAAGUUGUAGGAUUUUUUUAUAAAUAUUUAUUUUUAUAUAUACAAAAAAAAUUAACCUCUAAUAUUAUACAUAAUAGCAAAGUAAUAAGCAAUUGCGCGGACUUCCUCCUAGUUUGGUUAUAAAACAAAUGAUUUUUGAAAGUCUUAUUAUUUUCAAAUUUAAUUUACAUUAUGUUGUUCUAUAAAUUACGUAGAUAAUUUGAAGAUAAUUCUUUUUUAUCUUUAGUUCUCAGUUAAGUGAAAUUAACAGAAUUGCCUAAGGACAUUUUGUCUAGUAUUGAAAAUUUUACUAAAAAUAAAAUGAUACUUAUUAAUUAUUAUAAUAAAUUAACAUACACACUAUGAACAUCCUUAAAAAAAAUUACACACACUAUGAAUAAAUAAAUAUAAUCAAUAAAAAAUUUAUACUUUAAACUAAUAAAAUUAAAAUGUUAUACUUUAAUUGAGCUAUUAAAAUAUUAUACUUUAAACUAAUGAAAAUUAAAAUUAAAAUCAUAAAAUAUAAAUAAACCAUGCUAAAUACAAUAUAAAUAAUGGACAAACUAUAAUUCGAAUUCCAAGUCCGUUAAAGGGAGAAAUUACUUCCACUUAAUGGAAUGAUGUCGAAAUAGAGUGUUGAGUGUUAAUAUCCCUCGGCAACAACUUAUGAUUGUACCAUUGGAUAAUAUAGCAUUUAAAGUGCGAGGGAAUUUUUAUAAAACUUUAAACACUCUAAUAUUUAGUGUUUUUAUAAAAAUUAGUUCAAUUUUUUUUGUUAAUUAAAUCGUCAAUGUCUUUUUUUGUUAUUUUAAAUUAAAAAAUUAAUUAAACAGUUAUUUUUAUCAAAUAUUUCAAAUUUAUCUGCUUUCAGUUAAUCGUCAAUAGAAGAGCUAAUAACUGUUAUAACAACUAACAGUUAUAAUAUUUUCCAAUAUGCCUCACAUAUGAAACCUUUCAGUUUUAGAUACUUCUACUUAGGCCACUGAGUCAAAGCUUCAUUUGCAAUUUCAUUAUAUAGCUUAUUCAAUAAAAAAAUGAAUUAAUUGAAAAUAUUGGAUAUGCAAUAAUUAAAUGAAGAAUGUAAAUGGCAUAUUAUGAGAGGCAUCCCAUAGAAUUGGAAUGAUUGUGAUUUUUGAAGUCCAAACAUCAUAAGCUGUUGGCAGGGAAACAUCAAGGCAUACACCUCUCUACCAUCAUUUUAUUUUGGCAUUUUCAUCAUCAAAACAGUUCAUAGGUUAUUAUGAGAAAUGAGAUUUUAUGUUUCACCUGUUUGGGCAGAGACUGAUAAUUGGGCUUCGCAAUCUAUUUCUACUCAAAACAUCUUUAAACUUUAAGAUGGUGAAACCCAUUUUAAAUUAUGUUCUCAACUUGAAUAGUAUGGUGAUAAUAAUCUCAAAAAAAGAUUAAUUAAAAAUCAAAAUCUAUGAAAAUAAAUAGAAAUUUACUCAAAACCUAUUAAAACAAAUAGAUCUAAGUUAUUUACUCAAAAUUUGUAUCAAACAGAUAUAGAUUUGAAAAUUAUUCAAGAACACACGAAAAAAAAUACAAAAACAAAACUAAAAAGAUAAAGUUAAGAGAUAGUGACCACCGAUGAGAAUAUUCACUGUGGCCAUUUAAAAAUGAUGAAAGAAAAGUAGAAAGACUAUGAAGAGAAGAGAACAGAGUUUAGGGUUUUUCAGUCAGAUAUGUGUGGAGUUUAGGAUUUAUCCUCCGAGAGUACUUAUGGACGUUUUUCAUGUUAGUUAUAUACCUUAUAGCCAAUUGAUUGGUUAUAUGUUGGAUAUAAUACUUCAUUAUUAAUAAAAAGAAAUUUAUUUAUUUUUAAUGUUCUAUUAAAAGAAUCUCGAUAAAAAAUAAAGUUUAUAAGACAAUAUUGUUUUGCAAAGUAAAUUAUAAUGUGGUUAUAAUUAUGAAUUUUAUUUUGCAUCAAAGCAAUGUCUCUAAAUAUUACUGAUCAAUGUUCUCCUCAUUAUUGGACAAUGAUUAUAGCUGUUGAGAUUGAUACAUAUUAUGUUUUUUCUUCUAUGAAAGGAAGCAGUGGUUCUCAUAACCUGAGAUAUAUGUGAUAUCUAAAACUAAUAAAUAAGUCUAUUGAAUUGACCUACAUGAGAAUUUCAUAUAAAGAGUUACAUGUAUCUAUGAAAUACUCAAAUGAUGAUUGUAUAAGUGAUCUUUUAACUUGAAAUUACUAAGCUAUUUUGUACAGGGAUAAUUAUGUUUUGAUUCUUCAUUCACAUUAUUCAUUUAUGGAUAAUAAGCAACGAUGAAUUGGACAAAAUAGGAAUUGUAUGGAGAUACUUGUGUAAUUAAGAUAGGAUUCAUCGCCCUAGGUAAAUUAGGGAAAAUGUUUCAAUUAUUUACUAUUAGUAUUGAUUAUGAAAUCAUUGCACAAGUUAGAAUGAAAUUAACAAAUUAUAUUUGGAUUUUCAUUUAAAUGAUCAAUAGCUAAAAAUUAAGAGAACUAACAUGAUUUAAUAAAGCAGACACACUCCAUGUGUAAUUACUAAAUCAGAAUAUUAAUGAUAAAAAGAUAUUAAUUAUACUGAUAAACCAUUAACUAUCCACUGAAAGGUUAAGUUAAACCAAUAUUGACUUUCUAAAUAUUUGGAUAGUUAUAACAUAUUGCUAGACAAUAUUUUUGACCUUCAAAUAUUAAUUAAUUAGUUAAUUAUAUUUCUUGCCAACAUAUUUGGAACCUGAUAGAUCACAUACAUAAGAAUAAAUAUGAGAAAGUAAAAAUGAGAAAUCAAAUCAAGUAUGACAUGAUUACAAAUAAAUUUUAGGAUAUUAAAGGCAAAAUUGUAAUUUAUAUUUAAUUGUAAGUUUACCAAAAUAAUUAAGUAUUAACUUAGUUAAUUUAUAUCUAAAAUUUAUUGAGAUAAUAUUAUAUAAACCUAACAUUUUAAUUAUGAUUUAUUUAUUCAAAUAGUUAAAUAAAUAAAUAUAAUUAAUUAUAUUGAAAAUCCUAGAACUAUAUAUAUUAUGGUUUAUUUCUUUCAAUUGUGUAAAUAAAUAAAUAUGUACAUGUAUAUUUUAGUUAUAAUUUAAUUAUUUAAAAGGGCUUAAAUAAAUAAAUAAAAUUUAUUUAUUUUAUGAUCUAAAGCUUUUAUAUAUAAAGUUUAAGAAAUAAUCUAUAGCAUGAGAUAACCAGCAAAAAUAGAAACACAGAAUGUAAGAUAGCUAGCAUCAUUAUAUUUUAUGUUCUUUCAACUCUCUGAAAUAGUUUUAGAGUAUUUUGAUUGUCUAUUCAUAUGGAUACUGCUAGAAAUCGGACGAUUGGACGAGUUGUGUUUUGCGACAACCUAACGGCGUAGAUCGAACUUUCGAAAAAUCAAUCAAAGAGACAUUCUUCUAAAUAACUUUAUUGCUUUAAUCGUUUAAUAACGGAUCCUGUUAAAAUAAUUAUUUGUUAUAAUUAUUUUUAUUCUGCUGCGUUUUAUUAUAUGAUAAAUCCCGAGACAUUUGUGGAGUUGAUUGGUCUCAGCUUUACAGAGCAACUCCUUAGUUUUUCUUUGUUCUUUGCAGGUGUUGCCUUCUUUUUUCUUGUGCGGUCCAAUAGUUCUAAAACCGUUCGGUUACCAUUCGAUUUUAAUUCGGAACAAAAAUUAAACAUCUUUUUUCAGUUUUUUUUUUUUAUAUAUUUUUAGGUUUGUAGCAUAAAUAAAUAACAAUCAAAGAAUAAGUAGCAAUUUUAAUAAAACUAAAUAAGUUUAAUAAAAAUCUUAAUAUUUAUGUAAAAAUUGUAUAACAAAAAUAAAUUGAGUUUUGCUAAUAGUUUUUAAUUUCACAAUUCUUUUUCAUCUUUUCAUGCUUUCAAACCGAAAUUGCUAGUUUCAAAUUGAAAUUUUCAAUUUUAAUUCCUAAAAAUGAAAAAAUAAAACCAAAUGUAGCACAUGAUUUUUAUUAUAGCUUGUAACUAAGAAAUUUUGACCAUAAUAUUUCAAUUUGGAAUCCAACCAUGGUCAUGUCUGUUAAAAAGAAACAAAACAUUAAGAACUUUAAGGCCUUUCUGAAAGCUAAAGGGAAAGUAGCAGCUAAAAGAGUAUGAAUUUGGAGAACUAACAUAGGCAGGUGGUGUUCACUAUGUUAGGAUGUCUAAUUAUGGUUAUCUUGGCCCUGCAUUUGUUUAGCUUAGGGAUAAUAAAUGACAAAAAAAAUUACUAAUUUUCAAGUUUCUCAAGUAGGCUCAUCUUCAUGCAGUUACUAAUUUUCACUAUGAGUUCAUCGCCUCUUUUCUAAGAAGGUAUCAAAUUUCCCGCUUUAUUAGUUUACACAGAAGAGUGUAGUUCUAAUCAUUUGAAUCAUAACGAUGAAUUGCAGCAUUUAGUUCUGCUCAUCAGGUGCUUGAUAAAAUGUCUGAAAGAGGUGCUGAAUGAAAAGAUGAUUUCAUAAUCAGUUUCAUAAAUGAAAAGACACAUUGUUGUUUUUUAAAAUGAAGUUAUAGUAGAAGCUCAAAACCUAUAGACUCCAUCCCCUCAUCUCUAUUACAAUUUACUCUCCGUUAGAAUUGACAGAGUUCACCUGCAAUAAUUUCUAAAACUUACUCUCUUGUCCUUUAGUUGAGCUCUAUACAAGCCAUAUCGUCUCUUUAUCUACCAUUUACUCUUCCCUUGUUGUGUCCCUAUAUUAUCAAUCCAUGUCCCAUAUCAUAGACUCAUAUUUUAAUAACUAUAUUCAGCAUACUAAAAAUAGCCAAACACAAAUUAAUUUCAAAAUGCAUUUAUCGAUGAAAACAAAGAAAGCAUUUUAAUUUCAAAAUUCUUUAUAUUGGAUUUAUAUAACUCGCAAUACUGUAGAAAAUUAACAUAGCAGCUAUCCUAUAGAUUGGUGUGUAACAAUCUCUUUCAAAGGGGAAAUUACAGCAUUGAGCAUUAAUUAAAAACCUUUAUAAUUUAUUAUUUAAUUCUAUCUUGAAAUUAGGGUUUUUCAGACAAAAUCAAUAAAUUGAAUUUCAAAUUUAUACCAUAACAAGGCUAAAUCAUUAAAAAAAAACCUCGAACUAUUUUGUACCUCAAAUUCAACUUUCUUCUCUUAAUAUCCUGAAUUUCAACUUUCGUUACAAUAACACCUUAAUUUUAAUCGCGAGUAGUUUUAAUUUUGUACCUCAAAUUCAAUUUUCUUUUCUUAAUAUUCUGAAUUUCAACUUUCAUUACAAUAGCACCUUAAUUUUAAAUUGUAUCUAACAAUGAAUAAAAUAAUAUUUAUGUUGGACCUAUACACUCUCUCUUAUGGUUAAUUUAACUAAAAAUUCACCGUUGAACAACACUCUGAACACUUUAACUAAUAUUGAUUAGAAAUUUAAAUUCAUAAAAACUAAGUAAAAUAAUAUAUUCUAGUUAGUUAUAAGCAUAGAAUAUUAGUUUAGGUUUUUUUUUUGCUAUUUGUUUUUUGCACAAACACAGGACACGAGAUGCGGAAACAUAUAAAUAUGACAAUUUUUAAAAAUUUAGUACAUCCACACGCUUAGGAUACAUUACACUAAAUAAGUAAUACAUUAACAUUUCAAAUAAAUAAACAAUCUUUUAUAAUAAAUUAUAAACAUAAAAGAAAAUAAAAAUUAAUUUCUUAUUUUAAUCACAUAAAAACAAAUUUCAAAAAAACACUUCAUUCUUUAUUGGUAAUAAAAAAAUCUUGAUUGAUUAGCUUGGUAUAUUGAGUAGUCUCACAUACCAGGAGCUAGAUUGCAUGGAUACAGAAUACAAGAUACAUAAACGUACAAGAUACAAUAUUUUUUUAAAAAGUAGGUCAUCCACACGCUUAGGACACAAUAUACUAAUCUAUAUAAUAUAUAAAAGCAGAGCAGUUUGCAUUAUAUGAAAGCCAAGUGUAAGCCUCUGAAAUUGCCAAGUGUGAGAAGGAACAGUACGACCAAUAAAUUUUGAAAUAAAUAAUACAUUAACAUUUUAAAUAAAUAAACAAUCAUUUAUAAUAAACCAUAAAUAUAAGAUAAAAAAAACACUAAAUUUCUUAUUUCAAUUACACAAAAACAAAAUAAAAAAAAUACUUCAUUUUUAUUGGUAAUAAAAAAAAACCUUGGUUGAUUAGCUCGGUGUAUUCAGUAGUCUAAUAUAGCAGGAGCUUGGUUGUACUGACACGGGACACGAGCUAUAGGAACAUAUGAGAUAUGAUAUUUUUUAAGAAAGGUAGGACAUCCACGUGAUUAGGACACAAUAUACUAAAAAAGUAAUACAUUAAUAUUUUAAAUAAAUAAUCAAUUAUUUAUAAACCUAAAACAAAAAAAUAAUUAAUUUCUUAAUUCAACGACACAAAAAUAAAUAAAAAAAAAACACUGGUUGAUUAGCUUGGUGUAUAGAGUGGUCUUAUAUACCAGGAGCUAAGUUGCACGGAUAUGGAUACGAGAUACAGAAACGUAUAAGAUAUGAUAAUUUCUAAAAAAGUAGGACAUUCACACUCUUAGAACAUACUACACUAAAUACGUACUACAUUAAUAUUUCAAAUAAAUAAAUAAUCAUUUAUAAUAAAUCAUGAAGAUAAAAUAUACUUAAUUUCUUAUUUCAAUUACACAAAAAUAAAUUUUAAAAAAACACUUCAUUUUUUAUCGGUAAUAAGAAAAAAUGUUGUUUGAUUAGCUUGAUGUAUACAGUAACCUCAUAUACCAGGAGCUAGGUUGCACAGACACGGGACAGGAGAUACAGGAAUAUACAGGAUACAAUAAAUUUUAAAAAAUGUAGAACAUCCACACACUUAGGACACACAAUACUAAAUAAGUAAUAUAUUAAUAUUUCAAAUAAAUAAACAAUCAUUUAUAAUAAAUUAUAAACAUAAAAUAAAAAACAUACUUAAUUUCUUAUUUCAAUGACAAAAAUAAAUUUUAAAAAAAACACUUCACUUUUAAUUGGUAAUAAAAAGAAACCUAGAUUAAUUAGCUUAGUGUAUGAAGUAGUGUCGUAUACAAAGAUUUAGGUUGCAUAGACACGGUACAUGAGAUAUGGAAAUGUACAUGAUACGAUAAUUUUUUUAAAAAAGUAAGACAUCCACAUGCUUAGGACAUACCACACUAAAUAAGUAAUACAUUAAUAUUUCAAGUAAAUAAAUAAUCAUUUAUAAUAAAUCAUAAACAUAAAAUAAUAAAAAAUACUUAAUUUUUUAUUUCAAUAUAAUUAGUUAAAUUAUCAAAAUUAUUAUCACUAUUAAAAAAUAUAUCAAUAAUGUGUAUGCAUUUUUUAAUGUAGGUCAUACCAUAUAUGGCCUUUGCUAUUGCAUACCUUAUAAAAGGCUUCGCAGAAUACUUAAGAAGGCAUAUCUUACCGUUGUAACUUUUCGGCAUAUCAUUCAAAAAUUUUACUAUUUAUGAAUAAUGUUAUAAAAGAUUUUUUCAUCCUUUAAUAAUUUUAUUAUCUUUACAGUUAUAACUAAAGUUGAAGUUUAGGGUACAAGAGAAAAAAGUUAGAUUUAUGAUACAAUCAAAACCACCAGCAAAAUUGGACAGUUUUUUUUAAUGAUUUAGCCUGCAAUUCCAAACUAACAAAGCAAUCAUAUUUUAUAAUUUUAACGCUUUGUUUGGAUGAAAGGAGAGAGAGUUCAUUAAAGUAAGGUAUAGUAAAAUGUGAUACAGGAAAGUAUAGUAAAUGCUUAUUUUGUGUUUGUGGAAAAUGUAUAGUAAAUUGAAGGUUUAAUAACAUUAUUUUGUUUGGUUUGAUGGUAGAGGAAGAUAAUGUUAAAUAUAAAAUAUUACGAAAAUAUCAUUGUCAUGAAAGAUUUAUAAAUAUAAUUAUGGAUAAUUUUAAAAAUUAAAAUUUUUAGCCAUGCUUACACCCCAAUUUGCGGUGUUGGGGGGUAUUUAGACAUGUUUUCAACCUCUUAAAUAACUUUCAAAAAAUCAUACUCUCACUCAAAGUCUCUUCUCAAACGACUAAAUAACCCGCUCUACCUUAUUUUACUCUCCACACUAUCAAAUAACCUUCAUCCAAAAAAUAUGUAAUUAUCUCCUUCCCCCAUUUGUUUAAACAUAACCUAAAUACACAAAAUUUGUAAAUUAUGUUCUAAAGCAACAUAACAUUCUCAUUUCUUCUUGUCACUUGCCAUUUCCAAGCUACAAAUUUUCUCUUCUAGAUAGAAAUUAAAUUUUAAGCAUUUUCAUUAAAGCGAAGUUCAGAGUCGCAGGCUACUGAUAUAAUUAAUUUAAAGAGCGUUAAAGGGAAACCCUAGAUUGAUGGAAUGAUUCGGGGAGCAAUACUGGUUAGAGGACUGUGAUUUUCAACGUUUUACUAUGUAAUGAUAAUUCUAUAACAUACAUAAUAGAGUGUCUUUACAUCAAAAUGGAGAGUUUUAAGUUUUAUAUAUACCUUGGGAUAAGUUGAAUUCAAGGUCAGUGCGACCCAAUUUAAAUAAUAUUUUAUUUGCAAUUUCAUUCCUUAUUGCAAUUUAGGUUGUGAUUGCAGCAAAAAGUUUGGGUAAAUUUCGAACAAAAGUCAAAUUGGGGUGAAUUUAAUAAUACGCAAAGGAUGUUCUAAUACAUUUGGCCUUUCAUGUUAAUAAUAAAUUAUAUUAUUAUCUUACUUCGAGAUUUAAUCAAUGCAUAAUAUUCCAUGUGUCUCAUAAUGUUGAUAUUCAAUGUCUCUUUAUUCAUUUAUUUUUUUAGAAAUUUAAUUCUAUCAUAAAUUAGGCAUGACCGGUUUCGGUGAAUCAACAGUUCCUAUUUGAUCAAACCAACAGCUCAGGUUUCCUUCAUUUGUUUUACUCUAUAAGGUAGCAUCAUUAUUAGGGUUGUGUGGUUCCAAUUCUGGUUCAAUUCUCAACAAGAAUUAAAACCAUAGUUUGGUUCUUUUCAAAUUUAGAACCAGAACUAGAAUCAAAUGAUUUAGAAAUCAGAAUUAGGACUGAAUCAUAAGUCCGUUCAAUUCUGGUUUUGGUUCCUUAGUUCUAGUUCCUCGAUUCUAGUUUCAAUUUCGGUUCCAACUCCCCGUUAAAAAUUAACAAUUAUAUCCUCACUUAAAUAAUGAGGUAUUUAAAAAAGGAUUAAAGUUUUUUAUUUAAUUGGGUAAUUUAAUAAAAAUGGGUAAAAUUCUAACUUUCUUCUAUUAGUUUCUCUCCAAAUUGAAGAGACUCAAAACAUAUGAGUUCAAAUGGAAAAUAAGUAAAAUAUUAGGGUGUGUACACUUACAGAAAACAGUUUCAUGUUUUCUGUUUUCUAUGAAAAUAGUUUUCUUAAAAAAUGAAAAUCAAAAAACAGCAAAUGGAAAAUGCAUUUAUUUAGUAAUAAUAAAAAAUCAUAUUUUAAUUUAACUUCACAAACAUUAUUCAUAAAUUUCAUAAUUAAAAGAAAUAAAUACUAUAAAAUAAAUUUAGAAAUCUUUUAUGUAAAAGUUUUUAAAUUUUUAUUAUUGAUUAUUUAUAAUAAUAAUAUCAUCGUUUAUCAUUUUGUAAAUUUUCUUAAAAAUAAAGGAUAUAAUGUAUUUUUAAUAAUAAAAUUAAUUAUUUAUUAAAGCAUAAUAUAAAUUUUUAUGUCAUUUAAACAUUUAUUUUUUGAAUAAAAAUAUUUUAUAGAAAAAAUUAUUUAUAGAUAUUAUAAUUUUAAUUAUGAAAAUGUCAUUUUUAAAAAAAAAAUUGAAAACAUGUGUUUUGUUAUAAAGGAUAACUCUAGAAAAUAAAUUAAAAUUGCUGUCUAAAUCUUAGUUAAAUUUUAGAAAAAUGGAAACAUGUUUUCUAUCCAAAUAGAAAACUGAUUGAUUUGAACACAAAACUCUGUUUUUCAAUUAUCUCGGAAAAAUUUUCGACAAAAACUACUCUAAUUUUCUACAAGUGAACAUACCCUUACUUUCUUUGAUAUUUUCCUCCUUUCUCCCAAACAAGUGAAAAUAGCUUUCCCUAAAUAUUUUUCAUAAUUAUUUUCUUUUCUUAAAAAAGACUAUCAUUCAAACAAAGAGUAAAGGUGUUUGCAUCAUCCUAAUACAUUUAGUAAUAUAAUUUUCUCAAUUGUUAAGAAAUGAGAUUCUAGUAUAUGGAAUAAUGCAUUCUCAGUUGAGAAAUCUUAAAAUGAAUGAGACUGAGAAUUUGAAAUCUCAAGCACUAUACUACAAAAAUUUUGCCAUUAACUAUUAGUUCACAUUUUUUAUUUAUUUAUAUUCCCAAGUUAGUUAUAAUUUUUUCCCCUAUUUAUUUUUUGAGGCAUGUUCAGCAUUAUUAGCUACUUUAGUAGCUCUUAGUCAUUAGCUAUUGGCUUCUAGUCAGUAAUUGUUUAUAUAACGGUUUAAAUUAGAAGUGUUCGGUAAAAAAUAGCUAUUCAAUUAGAUGUUUAAUUUCAAAUAACAAAAAAAAGACUUUAAUUAGCUAAAUUCGGAGGAAAAAAAAAUGAAUGUGAUUGUCAAAAAAAAAAAAAAAAUUUCUAAUAGAAGUAAAAGAGAGAAAUAUUCAGAAUUUGCUAUUGAAAGUAAUGUAUCCUCUAAUGGGAUGAGAUUUAAAUAUUUAUAGUACAUUUUCCUAGUCUAACUGAAAGAAUAAAUGCCAAGUAAGAAUUUUGGUCAUAAAUGUCGAGUGAGAAUUUUGGGUAUUAAUUACAAGGUCGAAUGAUCUUAAUGACUCUUUGACUGAGCGUCACCUCCUUUUGAGCUUGUUUGAGUAACGCUUGAUCCAUUUUAUUCAUUGCUCCUAUCAAAAGUGUCCCCCCUCUUAAAAAUAUAUCUGAAUCAGUUAUGAUCAGUUGAAAUAUUUAUCAAGCUUGUUCACUCCAUUUUCUUGUUCUCUUUAAGAUGUUCGCUUUUAAAUUGACCCCUCUUAAUCUAUUUUGGCCGAGCACUUGUAACUCUUUCACAUGUGUCCUAAUUAUUAGUUGCAUUUUGAAAAAGUUAUGCACUUUUUCAGUUCAGCCGUUAAUUCAAGUCUCCUCUAUAAUGGAUGUGACUUUUGGAGCUAGCUAAGUAGAUUGCCGAGCAAUAAAGAGAUAAACUAAGACGUGAAUAUGAUUGGCAAAAAAGUAACUUGGAGCUUGUUCGAAAAGAAGUGGCUAACGCUAUCAAUAACUUUGAGUCUGAUUUUUGAGCAUGAUCAGAUUAAAAUGGACAAGAGUUGGGUCAAGAUUAAGUUAGGAAAGAGAAUGACUCUAACAUAGUCAUUUCUAAUGUUCCCCUAAGUGGAAGGGGUAUAUAUAUAUGGAUUUCUUCUAGAGAAAUUUCAUAUUUCUUUUUCUCAAGGCUCUGUACUUCUAUUUCCUUUUGUUUAAGAGCUAGUGUAAUUUAGAUGAUCAAUUGUGACUAGUAACUUAUUUAUUAUUUAUUGUGAAUCAUUUUUCCUCAACAUCUCUUGCACAGGAAUAUGUUGUUCUAGAUGUGUAAUUUGUCCGACCGAAGUGCGGUCCAUUGAAUCUUGUGGGUGAUUGCCAUUUCAUGGAAUCGUCUUCUUCCUUUCCUUUUGAGCUUUGAUCUGUGCUUGCUGGAUCUUUCAAGCCUCAUCUAGCCGAGCAUAGUUGUUUGCUCGAGACAUUAAUUCUGCAAAAGAAAGCGAAUGAUCAAUAUUAAUGGAAUCAAACAGUUUUUCAUACUUAUAUUUUUUUGACAUGGCGCUAAUGGAAACUUCUUCAUUUAGUUCCUCAAUUAACAUAGCCAAUUUCUGAAAUUUAUUAAGGUACUCCUUGAGUGAGUCUCCAUCAUCCCUUUUUAGAUCAAUUAGGUCUAAUGAGAUCUUUUUGCUCGAGAUACAUAUGACAAACUAAGCUUUGAAGGCAAGAGCUAGUUGAGCAAAGGAUGUAAUCGAUCCUAUUUUGAGCAUUUGGUACCACUCCUAUGCUGGUCUCUUCAAAAUUACUAGAAAUGCUUGGCAUAAUAGAGCAUCUGUAGUAAUCUAAAUGUGCAUUAUUAUCUUGAAGUUAGUUAGGUGACUUCUGGGAUCUAUUGUGCCAUUGUAUGUUUGAAUUGCUUGCAUCUUGAAUUUUGAUGGAAAAGAUACUUCCAACACCUCCUGUGAUAAUGGAGAGUCACUUCUGAGCCCAUAAUCACUACUAUCUCCUACCCGCUAUAUUCUUUAAGGGUCUCUCUGAUUUUCGCUCAGGAGUUUUCUUCGCCUAGCUCUUUUGGAACAUUUAUAGUGUUCCUAUUGUAUGUUGUUUCUGUCUUCCAAGACAAAUCAAUUUCUUCUGCCAGAUAUGCUCACUCUUCCUCUUCUUCUCUACCAACUCACUUCCCAUUUAUAAUGAAUAGUUGUUGUACUAGGAACGUUGAGACGAAGGCUGAGAGUGCAUAAAUCGCUCCAAAAGUGAUGCAAAACUAUUAUAGGCUUCUGCUAAGGCUUUUGUCACUUGUGGAUAUGUUAUGGGUGGAGGAUUGAAAGUAGAUGGGAUAUCAUUCGAAGUUUGAUUAGCUGGAUCAGCUACUAUAUUUGAAGUCAGGUUUAUAGUGGACUCCAUUCUUGUAUUUUGAGCACCAUUGAGCGGAUUUUGAGAUUCAUUAGAUGUCAUUUUUGGGAUGAUUUUGGGAGAAAAAGAUUGAUUAACUAAAUGUGUUACAGGCUCACCGCACCAAAUUGAUAAAAGCAAAAGAAAGAAAUAUUCAGAAAUUGUUAUUGAAUGUAAUAUGUCCUCUAAUGGGAUGAGAUAUAAAUAUUUAUAGUACCUUUCCUAUUCUAAUGGAAAGAAUAAAUGCCAACCAAGAAUCCCGGUCAUAAAUGUCGAGUGAGAAGCUUGGGCAUUAAUUACAUGGUUGAAUGAGUCUUAAUGACUCUUUGACCAAGCGUUACCUCUAUUUGAAUUGGUUUGAGUAACAUUCGGUCCAUUUUAUUAAUUACUCCUAUCAAUUUCUAACGCUAGAUGUUAGAGUAUUUAAUGGUUCAUAAAAAGUUUCAUCAACCUUUAAGAGCUAUUAUAAAAAUUAUGUUACCGAAUAUACAAUUAGUAGAGAUAGAAUUUUAACUUAAUCAAAAUGUCAAAAUCUGUCGCCGAACAGAGCCUUAGUAAAAAAUUUCUCAUAACUAUAUAAUAUGUUUAUCACUCCUAAACCGGGAAAGGACCAUAUGGAUUCAUGGACAAGCUAACCAAAUUGCUCAUUUACUUACAAGUGUAGCUACAUCCUUUCUCAGUGCUAUAGUUUGAAAGAAUGCAAACUUUUUAAUUCCGACUUUGUUAAAUGACGAUGUUUCUUAAGCUCCAUUUGUUUCCCGAAAAAAACUUACCUAAGAAAAUGAUUUUCUUAAAAAUAUUUUCCAAAUGACUUAUUCUCUAUUAUUUGGUUGCAAUAUUGAAAAUUAGUUAAAAAUAUUAAAAUUUUUAACUCAUAAGACCACCAUAAUAAUAAUAAUAAUUUUGUAUUUUGAUAAAAUUUUAUCGUUAAAUAUGAGAAUAAUGCAAAAAAAAAAAGGUAAAUUAUGAAAGUCGAUGGUGGCUGGUAGUGACGGCUGGUGGUGAACGGUGAUGAACGGUGAGUAGAGGUGGUGGUGGCUACUAAUGAUUAGUAAAUUAAAAAAAAUACAUAAAUUUAUAAUAUUAUAAGAAGUUUGUGAAAAAUCUAAAAAAUGUAUUAUGCUCCUAAAAAUAGGAAGUCAUUUUCCUUAAAAAUGACUUAAUUUUUUUUACUAGAAAAAUAUUUUUUACUGACUUAUUUUUCUGAACUCCUCAAACAACAAAAAAUUAUGAAAAAUAAUUUCCUACAAGUUAUUUUUAUGGAAACAAAUGGAGCUUUAAUUUAAACAAAAAUAGUUGCCUUUCUACUUGGCUUCAAAUCUAAAAAUAUUUUAUGAAAAAUCCUAAACAUUCCGCUAAAAAGUUAUUUCCUUUAAUGGAGGUUUUUCUUUUAUGGACUCCAUAUAAACAGAUUAGACUUACCCAAAUAAAUUAACGUGAUAUAAAUGGAAAACAAAAAGGUUAUUUCUCCUAAGUUUUCAUGUAUGGCCUUUCAUUUAUUACUUUUGUAAAAUUUCCUCUUCUUUCGUGUUUUCUCAUCUAACAACCUCACAACCAGACAACAUUUUUAUGUUAAGUUGCUUCUUUUAGGUUGUCUAAUUAUGUAUCAUUAGCUUAUUAAUCACUUUCCCUUUUAAGUCACAUCUUUCCUAAACCGGUGGUUGUUAUCAGGUAGAUCUCAUUGCAAUAUAUAAAACUCCAAACCCUCCAUCCAUCUACCUAAGAAAAACCAACUUCAUUCCUAACCAAAACCCAAACAAUCACUUGCAUGCAAAAUUUGCCCAAACCCACCACAAGCCAUUACACGUGGCAUUUCCCUAUUUUAUUAUAAACUUAGGUAUAGAAAAUAAAUAAGUAUUAUUAUUAUAAACUAUUUUGUAAUACACAAAAAGUACAACAACUAAGAUUUGAAAAGCUUAAUAAGUAUAAAAAUACCUUUUUGUCUUUUGCAGAAAUGUUUUUUAAAUUGUGAAGUUUUAAGGUUUAUUUGUAACUGAAAAUUAGGAAGUAAUUAACUAAUUAAUUUAUGCCAAAUAACAAAUUAGUUGUAGCGGGUCCUAUACAUGAAACUUCAAUAACAAUGUUGUGUUGUGUCUUUUCUUUAGUUGUAGUAGGUGAAUAAUCUCGACCAUCUUUAAUAUGUGGGUCCAAAAAUCACUAUCAUCAAUUCAUCACCAUCACCUUCAAAGCCCAUCCAUUCCUACAUUAUCCAAUUCUCUCUUCUUAAGUCUAUGUAUUAGUAAAUAAUAAUAUAUCUAUCAAGAUUCAACCAUCAAGAUCUGCUUGUUUUGGCUUUAUCUUCACCUAGCUAAAUAAGUACCUUGAUAAAAGGCUCAAUGUCAAACAAAAAAAAAAAAAACUGAAAUUUGACAUUUUUAUUAAUUCUAGUCAGUUCUUUUAAUUUUAUCAAUCAAUACCCGCAUAUUUAGUUUUCUGUAUCAAUUCUAUCAUCCAUUCAUCUUCCGUCAAUUUUAUGUUAAUAUGACGGUUAUCUCUCACAAUUGGGCCAUACAACAUCCAAUGUCAGCCCUAAGUCAUGUAUCCACGUAUAUUAAAAAAAAAUAUUAACUUUAAGAUUUUUAUCAAAUCUAGCCAGUCCUUUUAAUUUGAUCAAUCAAUACUGCAUAUUAAUUAAUCUCUAUCAAAUAAUUUUAUUAUAUUGAUAUUUAUUCAAUUAAAUAAUUUAUUAAUUAACUAUAUAUAUUAAGUGUAUAAUGAAAUUAAUAAAUUAGAAUUCAAUUUUACUAAAGGCUCUUUUAAAAAUGUUAUUUUUAAAUAUACUAAUUGAUAAUAUUUUUAAAUAGUUUAAAACUAAUAUUUUUAAAAAAGACUCGCAGUAAAAUUGAAUUCUAAUUUAUUAAUCUCAUUAGACACUUAAUAUACAUAAUUAAUUAAUAAACUAUUUAAUUGAAUAAAUAUCAAUAUAACCAAAUCAUUUGAUAGAAAUUAACUAAUACAUGGUCUUGAUUGAUAAAAUUAAAAGAACGGGCCAGAUUUAAUAAAAACAUUAAAGUUUAGGCUUCUUUUAAUAUACGUGAAUAUAUGACUUGGUGCUAACAUUGAAUGUUGUAGGGCCCUCUUGUGAGAGAUAACUAUCAUAUUAGCAUGAAAUUGACGGAAGACAAACAGAGACUAGAAUUGAUAUAAAAAAUUAAGUACGCGGUAUUGAUUGAUAAAAUUAAAAGAACUAGCUAAAAUUGAUAAAAAGGUCAAAGUUCAUGCUUUUUUGUUAUUAAACUUUAAUAAAAAUAAUUUCUUUUGUUCCCAAAAAUAAACUAUUUCUAUUUAAUAUAUACCAUUAUCGAUAGAUAUACAAAUUAAGAAAUAUGAAAACGGACUCGUAUCAUUGUUACGGUUAAUAAUAUAUGUAAAACAACAACUAACUAAAACGUGCAUCUACAUAUUAUUAGAGUAUGUUUGAUCAGUUGAUUAACGAAGCUCAAAACUAAGUUGUACUCAAUAAAUAAAUUGUAGGUGUUUGGUAAGCUUUUUAAUCAGCAUAAUAAAUUAUAAGUGUUUGGUAAGUUUUUUAAUCAUAAGUAAUAGAAGUUUCAAUCAACUGUUCAUUUCAUCAGUUACGUUUUAAAAUUUUCUUUUGUAUCCAUUGAUAGCUGAUUUUUAUUUAUAUUAUAUUUGGAUGUUAUUAUCCUCUUAAAAAUAACUACCAAUAAAAUUUUUUUAAUUUAAUAUUUUUUAUCAUCAUUUUAUUUAUAAUUAUUUAACUAUAAUAGUUUUUAUUAAAUAUAAUUUUAAAAUUUUAAUUAAUAUUUUUUAUUAUAUAAUACAUUUAAAAUAAAAAUAAUAUACUCAUCUUAAAAAUUUUCAAAAAGUAUACAUUAUACAUCAUAAUCAAAAAAAAAUUAUGCCCUUAAUGAUAAUUUUAUAUUUUAAUAGCAACCAUUACAAAAAUUUUACUAAACACUAAUAUUUAUUAGCUAACCACAAUCAGCCAUCAACUAAUAGCUUGUAUAAAUUGUUAAACGAAAUAGACCCUUAGAUUAGGAAAAUUGUAAACAUAUAUAUUAAGAAAAAAAUUGAAUAAAAAUUAUGGUUUAACCAUAUUAAUCAUAUUUUCUUAAUCUAUAUGAAAAUUAAUUUUUAUAAGACACGGAAUUUUUUAUUAUCUUAAGUUUCAUAAUGUAGAGGGAAAUUUUAAAAUUAACCAAAUUUGUCUUUCGUAAAAAUAAAUGUUUCUUUUUCUUUAUUUUAGGUUUGUUAUACAUUUGUCUUUUAUUGUAUGGAUAGUACUAAACUAAGUAAGCAACUAAACCAAAUUGUAAUUUGAUAGUAGUGGUGAGGUCAAACUCUGAGCUAAUAUUAAUUAAUAGGAUAUGAACUGGCAGAAAAAAAUAAUAACUGAAAAAGCCAGAGGAUUGGAACUUAAGGUUAUUUAUAAGAAAGAAUCAUAAUUAAUGCUAGAUGGAAGCCUCCAUGAAAUGUAAUUUUUAUUUUUGCUCUCUCUCUCUCUCUCUCUCUCUCUCUCUCUCUCUCUCUUCUCUGUUACUGGUUUUUAAUUAUCUUCUACUGUUAUGUUAGGAAAUUGGAAAGGACAGUUUCACAUGGGAUACACAGAGAGAAGAGUACCUUUCUUUUGUCACCUUCAAUCUUCUUCUUCUUCUUCUUCUUCUUCUUCUUCUUCUUCUUGAUUGAAUAGCAUACACAAGAAUAACCCAUCAUCAACGUUUUCCUAUUUCUUUCAAGAUAGGCAAGAACAACAAUCCAAGACUCUCUCUCUCUCUCUCUUUAUUUUCUUGAUUUUUCAUUUUCUCUGAAAUGAGGAGGUUAGCCACUUGUUAUAGUGAACAUGCCAUUAAAGUAUCAGAUUCAUAUUGUUCUGGUCCUUCAAAUCAAUCUUAUCUUUCCCCUAAUCAAUCUCCUUCAAUUGCAAAUGCAAUUUCUUGUAUAUAUAAAGUCAAACUUUCAUCUCAAAAGGUUUUCUUGAUCACUCUGACAUGGUGCAAAAAGCUCCUAAGUCAAUUCUUCUCUAUUAAUAUUACUGAUUCCAAUUCCUCUUCUUCAAAAUUCAAUCCCAAUUCCAAUUCUCAUUUUCUUAAAAAAAUUACAGGCUCCAAAACAUUUCAAUCUUGCAAUUCGAAGAUUGAAGUCUAUUGGGAUCUUUCUUCUGCUUACUAUGACACAGGACCUGAACCGGUCAGUGGUUUCUACGUUGUCGUUUUGGUGGAUUCAGAGAUAGGUCUAAUUCUUGGAGAGGAAGCAAAUAAUAUUAUUACUGAAGGACCCAAAAUAAAAUCACCGCCACCAUUGAAGUCCUCGUUGAUUUCAAGAAUUGAACAAUUUUCAGGAAAUGCAAUUUAUUCAAGUAAGGCUCAGUUUUGUGAUUCAGGAGCAGAACAUGAUAUAGUAAUCAAGUUCAGUGGAGACGAAGAUGGAUCGAAAAAUCCUGUAUUUUCUUUGUGCAUUGAUAAUAAGAUGAUUUUCCAAGUGAAGAGAUUGAAGUGGAAUUUUCGAGGGAACCAAACAAUUUUCUUGGAUGGGUUAUUGGUAGAUAUGAUGUGGGAUUUACAUGAUUGGUUCUUUAAGGAAGUUUCUGGGUAUGCUGUUUUCAUGUUCAGAACAAGAAGUGGAUUGGAUAGUAGGUUGUGGCUUGAAGAGAAGAAUUUAGAGCAGAAAGGGCAAGACAGAGCAGAAUUUUCCUUGUUGAUUUGUGCUUGUAAGAAUCCUGGGUGAUUUCCUUUUCUUGAUUGCUAUUUAGUUUGUAAUUGCUUAAUUUUUUUUUCUGUUUUUCAUUUUUUUUUUCAAAGAGAAAAGAAAAUCCUUUAUCAUGUGAACCGUUUUCUUUACAAAAUUUCAACUCUUAAAUAGUAUAUAAAAUUUCUUAUCUAUUAUAAGAAAUAAAAUAUAUUUUUGUUAAUGUGUUUUUUGUUUAGUCGCAUUAGCGAAAUUAUUAAUUCGGAUGCUUAAUUUUGAUUGCAAAAUUCGAUUAUAAAUUAUAAAAGGUCUUUUUAAUUAAAUUAAUGUUGAUUAGUCAAAUCUCAUUUUGUUUAAACAGUAAGUUUUGUAAAUUCUCUUUGAUUAUUAAAGGAUACAAACUAAAAAUACCUUUUAAAAAAAUAAAUAAAUAAAUCUCUGCUUUUCACAACUAGUGUCCGUGUUAACCUUUGAAUCCAUUGUAAGCAACAGGCAGAUAAAUGUUUCCUUCUUUUGGGUGUGGAAAAGAGAGUUCACCCUUAUCUAAUAUUAUACCCAAAUGUUUGUCCGAAGGAGUAAAAGCUUUUUCCAGGUUUUGUCGUUUAGAAACACCAAAAUAUUUUAUUUUUGGCUUUGCUUUUGAGGGACUACAUAAUGUCUCACAUUCUCUUUAGUCAAAUGAAAUUAGAAAUUUCUAUUUUUUUUUUAUUUCCUAUAAUAUCUCUCGUAUCUUUUUAUUAAUACGAGUCUAAUCUAAUUUUGAAGUUUAUUAAUUUUUUUUUGAAAUUUAACGAUUCAUUAAUAACGAAUACAAGUUGAGUAUUUCCUAUAGCAAUAAAAAAUACAAAUAUAGAAAAUUGAAAUCUUUUGUUUGGUUUUUGAUAAUGGUUAAAGAGAUUAAUCUUCUGGAUAAGAAUUGAUCCAUUUUCAGAUAUGACAACAAAAGAAAUUGUUUACAAUAUUAUUACAAACAUUAUUUUUUCGAAAAUUUGUUAUAAUUGACACCCGUAGAAAAGUUUAAUAUUCUAAAUUUUAAUCGAGGAACAUACCACACUACCGGGUUCUAUUGAUAAAAAAAACUUGCCCGAAAUUUGAAAUUUCCUACCACAAGUAACCAAAGAUCCAUUCCUAAGUCUACAACCACAAGCAAUCAACAAUCCAUCUUAUAUUUCAAAGUGCCAAAGAAAUAAAAGAUCAAUAUAAAACAAAUUAAUAACGAGAAACAACCCAAUAAAAGAAGAAAAAUUAAUAACCCUACGAAGAAAGUACCAAAAACACUCAAGAUCUAUCAAAUAUUAUAGAAAUGAGAGACUAAAUCCAAGUUUUGUUCCAAACGAUCGUAAAUUUGGAAAUUAUUAGAAAGAAAAAUAAAAAAAAUAAAGAAAAACGAUAGGAAGGGACGAAAAGAAACCACCACCAAUCAAAGAAAACGGUUGGCAGUGGUUUACAAAACAAAAUCUAAAAGAACAAAAAAAAAAAAAAAAAAAAAAAAAAAGAAGAGAGAUCAAGGGAGAGAGACGGCUAGGAUUUACAUAAAUUGACUCUCUCCAUAAAUGUUAUUCCAUAAAGCAAAUCUCUAAUCUUAAAAAGGUCAAAUUGUUAAUUUAACCAAAUCAUGGCGUAUGAAUUUUAGUUGAAUCAUAGUAACUUGUAAUGUUAUGGCGCCACAGUGACUUGCAAUCUUAAUCUAUUAAAUUUAGUUUUCAAAAUAGCUGCGGAUAUUGGUCAAUUCUGCUAAAUCAAAUUAAAUUAAGGUAAAAGAAAUAAUCAAACCGAAUCAAUUAGCAUAUAUAAUAAAACUAAAUCAAAUUAAUUUGAUUCAGUUGAUUUAGUUUGAUUUUCAAUUAUGCUCGAGCAGAUUUGUUUUUUUUUUUUUUUUUUUUUUUUUUUUUUUGCUUAAUGAAAAUAAAAUUAAACUAAAAUUUUUUUUGUGUAAUUAAAACCAAACCAAAUAUGUUAAAUUGAACUGAUUUGAUUUGGUUGGUUUUAUUGGACAUGUGCAGCAGUACUUUUGGAUGGAAUGAUGUUUUGUGUUUUAAAUUCAGUAUUGAGUUUAGUACAUUGGACAUUGGACAGGGAGGGGUGGCAUGAAGCCAUGAACAGUUUUUGUUUAUGAAGUUCUGCAUCUCGUUGGUUUUGUCUGUCUGCCUUUCUUUUAAUGACCCACGUUUCUAGUUUGGUAUUUUAUGUACUUGCAUUCAAUUUUGUCUCUUGUUCCUCCAACCAAAUAUCUUUGACAAAAGAAAACACACUUUUAAUUAUAUAUUUUGGUCAAUCAAAAAUGAAAUUUAAAAUAUAGCUUAAUUUAAAUCAAGGUAUAGGACAUAAUAAUACCAUAUUCGGCGGCAUCUUUUCAAAUACCCUUUAGCAUUUUUCCAAAGGCAAAACAUCAUCUCUGUAGUUGAAAAUUUAUGAGAGCAGAUUAUGAAGGCCUGUUUGCAAACAGCUUUUGAACUAUCUUUUAACGUUUUGACUAAUUUAAAAUUCUACUCUAUUAAUCAUAACGUUCGGUAAUAUAACUUUUAAGAUAGUUUUUAGAGGUUGAGAGAGUUUUUUGUGAAACGUUAAACACUAUAACGUUUAGCUGUCACGACCCGAUUCCAUGGGCCGGACCGGCACUAGGGCCCAGGUAAGCUUAAAGCCCCCGAGGCCCGUAGUAAGCCUGAAACACUACAAAUUUGCUAUCUCAAUCUAAUUUUAAACAUUCAGCCCAAAUUUAUAACAUUUUAAACAUUUACAAAUUUCCCUGCUUACAAUACACUAUAUUUAUAAUACAGGCUCACAGAAUUAUUUCAUCUAUAAUAAUACACAACUUAAAAGUAUACAAAUUCUAUAACUGCGGAGUUNNNNNNNNNNNNNNNNNNNNNNNNNNNNNNNNNNNNNNNNNNNNNNNNNNNNNNNNNNNNNNNNNNNNNNNNNNNNNNNNNNNNNNNNNNNNNNNNNNNNNNNNNNNNNNNNNNNNNNNNNNNNNNNNNNNNNNNNNNNNNNNNNNNNNNNNNNNNNNNNNNNNNNNNNNNNNNNNNNNNNNNNNNNNNNNNNNNNNNNNNNNNNNNNNNNNNNNNNNNNNNNNNNNNNNNNNNNNNNNNNNNNNNNNNNNNNNNNNNNNNNNNNNNNNNNNNNNNNNNNNNNNNNNNNNNNNNNNNNNNNNNNNNNNNNNNNNNNNNNNNNNNNNNNNNNNNNNNNNNNNNNNNNNNNNNNNNNNNNNNNNNNNNNNNNNNNNNNNNNNNNNNNNNNNNNNNNNNNNNNNNNNNNNNNNNNNNNNNNNNNNNNNNNNNNNNNNNNNNNNNNNNNNNNNNNNNNNNNNNNNNNNNNNNNNNNNNNNNNNNNNNNNNNNNNNNNNNNNNNNNNNNNNNNNNNNNNNNNNNNNNNNNNNNNNNNNNNNNNNNNNNNNNNNNNNNNNNNNNNNNNNNNNNNNNNNNNNNNNNNNNNNNNNNNNNNNNNNNNNNNNNNNNNNNNNNNNNNNNNNNNNNNNNNNNNNNNNNNNNNNNNNNNNNNNNNNNNNNNNNNNNNNNNNNNNNNNNNNNNNNNNNNNNNNNNNNNNNNNNNNNNNNNNNNNNNNNNNNNNNNNNNNNNNNNNNNNNNNNNNNNNNNNNNNNNNNNNNNNNNNNNNNNNNNNNNNNNNNNNNNNNNNNNNNNNNNNNNNNNNNNNNNNNNNNNNNNNNNNNNNNNNNNNNNNNNNNNNNNNNNNNNNNNNNNNNNNNNNNNNNNNNNNNNNNNNNNNNNNNNNNNNNNNNNNNNNNNNNNNNNNNNNNNNNNNNNNNNNNNNNNNNNNNNNNNNNNNNNNNNNNNNNNNNNNNNNNNNNNNNNNNNNNNNNNNNNNNNNNNNNNNNNNNNNNNNNNNNNNNNNNNNNNNNNNNNNNNNNNNNNNNNNNNNNNNNNNNNNNNNNNNNNNNNNNNNNNNNNNNNNNNNNNNNNNNNNNNNNNNNNNNNNNNNNNNNNNNNNNNNNNNNNNNNNNNNNNNNNNNNNNNNNNNNNNNNNNNNNNNNNNNNNNNNNNNNNNNNNNNNNNNNNNNNNNNNNNNNNNNNNNNNNNNNNNNNNNNNNNNNNNNNNNNNNNNNNNNNNNNNNNNNNNNNNNNNNNNNNNNNNNNNNNNNNNNNNNNNNNNNNNNNNNNNNNNNNNNNNNNNNNNNNNNNNNNNNNNNNNNNNNNNNNNNNNNNNNNNNNNNNNNNNNNNNNNNNNNNNNNNNNNNNNNNNNNNNNNNNNNNNNNNNNNNNNNNNNNNNNNNNNNNNNNNNNNNNNNNNNNNNNNNNNNNNNNNNNNNNNNNNNNNNNNNNNNNNNNNNNNNNNNNNNNNNNNNNNNNNNNNNNNNNNNNNNNNNNNNNNNNNNNNNNNNNNNNNNNNNNNNNNNNNNNNNNNNNNNNNNNNNNNNNNNNNNNNNNNNNNNNNNNNNNNNNNNNNNNNNNNNNNNNNNNNNNNNNNNNNNNNNNNNNNNNNNNNNNNNNNNNNNNNNNNNNNNNNNNNNNNNNNNNNNNNNNNNNNNNNNNNNNNNNNNNNNNNNNNNNNNNNNNNNNNNNNNNNNNNNNNNNNNNNNNNNNNNNNNNNNNNNNNNNNNNNNNNNNNNNNNNNNNNNNNNNNNNNNNNNNNNNNNNNNNNNNNNNNNNNNNNNNNNNNNNNNNNNNNNNNNNNNNNNNNNNNNNNNNNNNNNNNNNNNNNNNNNNNNNNNNNNNNNNNNNNNNNNNNNNNNNNNNNNNNNNNNNNNNNNNNNNNNNNNNNNNNNNNNNNNNNNNNNNNNNNNNNNNNNNNNNNNNNNNNNNNNNNNNNNNNNNNNNNNNNNNNNNNNNNNNNNNNNNNNNNNNNNNNNNNNNNNNNNNNNNNNNNNNNNNNNNNNNNNNNNNNNNNNNNNNNNNNNNNNNNNNNNNNNNNNNNNNNNNNNNNNNNNNNNNNNNNNNNNNNNNNNNNNNNNNNNNNNNNNNNNNNNNNNNNNNNNNNNNNNNNNNNNNNNNNNNNNNNNNNNNNNNNNNNNNNNNNNNNNNNNNNNNNNNNNNNNNNNNNNNNNNNNNNNNNNNNNNNNNNNNNNNNNNNNNNNNNNNNNNNNNNNNNNNNNNNNNNNNNNNNNNNNNNNNNNNNNNNNNNNNNNNNNNNNNNNNNNNNNNNNNNNNNNNNNNNNNNNNNNNNNNNNNNNNNNNNNNNNNNNNNNNNNNNNNNNNNNNNNNNNNNNNNNNNNNNNNNNNNNNNNNNNNNNNNNNNNNNNNNNNNNNNNNNNNNNNNNNNNNNNNNNNNNNNNNNNNNNNNNNNNNNNNNNNNNNNNNNNNNNNNNNNNNNNNNNNNNNNNNNNNNNNNNNNNNNNNNNNNNNNNNNNNNNNNNNNNNNNNNNNNNNNNNNNNNNNNNNNNNNNNNNNNNNNNNNNNNNNNNNNNNNNNNNNNNNNNNNNNNNNNNNNNNNNNNNNNNNNNNNNNNNNNNNNNNNNNNNNNNNNNNNNNNNNNNNNNNNNNNNNNNNNUUGCUUGGUUUUCGAGUUUUUCGCUUGGUAUUCGAAAAAUCGAAUUGGUUUACGGGUCCAGUUUAGCAAUAAUAAAAUACUAGCUGGUAUAAUUUCAUUGGUUGAAAUAAAAAAUUUAGUUUUUAAAUGAAAAUUCUACGAAAUUAAAUUUUCGGGUCGUUUCAUUAGCUUUUAACGUUUAACUUUUAAUUAAAUUUUUUUGAUAAUGAUACACUUUUUUUUCUUCUCAAUUCACCUAAUUAAAGAAUUAAUGGUAUUUUUUAUCAUUUUAAGUUAAAUAGCUAUUUUUACUAAAUACUCUAAUUUAAACCGUUAUAUAAGUAGCUACCACUAAAAGCUAAAAGCUAACAAUUAAUAGAACAGCUAAUAAACACUACAAGACAGCUUACAGCUACUUAAAUAACUAAUGUUGCGAAACAUACCCGAAAUGUUACUCCCUCUAACGUUUGAUAAAAUGCUAAUUAAACAAUUGAAAGCUACUAGAACAAAUAAUAAUUAUUUUGCUGAACAAACCCGAAAUAUUUGAAAUCACUAAAGGAUGAAUAUUAGCCCCACUUUUAAUUUUUCACGAGUAUUCGCACACUAUGUUAAAUAUAAAAUUAAUUCAAUUUUGGGAUUUGUAGUUACUUUUCUUUAUAAUUUUUUUUAAUAAAUUGAAUUCAUAAUUUUAUAAAAUUCAUUUGCUAAAUUCAAAUGACUUUUCACCUUCUACAAGUGGAUGGAAAAUGAGAGAUUUUAGAUGGUGAAAAUUUUUAAUUUAUUUAAUAAUAUAUUUGUGGGAAAAAAAGGAUAUAUUUCUCAAUUUGAUAAAAAAAAAAAGUUGGCCUCUUCGGAAAACAGAAAAGAAUGGAGAAGUACUGAAUUUGUAAUUAUUAUCACGUUUUUACAACAUUAGAUUUUUUUUUUUUUCCACCUAUACCAUUAGAUUCAAAACUACUUAGAUGGCUUACUACCUAAAAUAACAAUAUAUAAUAUUUAUCUAUUCUCUUAUGAUUUUGAAAAUCUAAUAAAGUUGUGGGAUCUUUUAAGAGACUUAAAAAUACGGGGAUAAUGCAAAACUAAAUUUUAUUAGAAUAUAGGUAAAAUCUUAUAUUAUGUAAUUAUGCUGAAUUAUUAAACAAUUUUUAUUUAUGUUAAAUGUUAAAUUACAUUUUUUUUUUCUAACACAAAGUGUUGCUCAUCAAUUGCCUAGAACCUUUUUUUUAAUAUUAAAUUCGUUUUUAAAAGUUUUUGUAAUUCAAAGCUUAUGCAUUAACAUAUACUUUAUUUUAGAAUACAAAUUAUAUAAAUUCAAAACAUAUAAUAAAAUGUCUAUGACCAUUUUUUUCAAAAUAACUUUAAUGCAAAACUCAAUAGAUAGCCUUAAUUUCCAUUAGUUCGUUCUAAUGUCAAAUUACUAGUGUUUUGAGGAUCGAACCGGUUAGUGAACCGAUAAAAGUAAAAGUUUAUUAAACCGAAUAAUUCAACCAGAUCCAGUCUAAUUAAAAUGAAUUUUUAUAUAUAAUAUUUGUAAAUAUAUUUGAAUACAAUUGAAAAUAUAGAUUACAAAAAAUAAAUUUGAUAUUAAACAAAAAAUUUAGGCUCAUAUCUAGCUUUUACAAGAAGGAUAAAAAAAUUAGUAAAUAAUAUUAAAUAAAAAGAAUAAAAAAAAGACUAAAUUUAGUACUAAACAAAAAAAUCAAUUAUCAUAACAUAUAAUAUUUUCACAUUUGGCUUUGAAAUUGGAUAAUUUAGUUGUUUUGAUUAACAAGAGUUUGGGCCUAGAAUAAGGAGACUCAAAAUUUAAAAAAUCAGUAGCCCAUAUUUUAAAGAAAAAUCCAUAUUUUGAAUGGAAUGGUACUAAUUAUCAAUUUAGUUCGCUCAAUUUUCACCCAGUUUGCACUAGUUUUUUAAGACCCUGUUUUUAUUAUCCAAUUCAAACGGACUAGAUCAUACUCUAGUUUCCAAUUAAAUUGGUCGAACCGGUCAGUCCGGUCCAGUUUUCAGAACAAUGCAAAUUACUUUAUAUAAUAAAUCUUAUAUAUCAUAUUUUUAUUGAUUUUAUCCAUGAAAUUUCAAUUUAAAGCCCUCCAAAAAUGUUACAAUAGUAAUAAUUUUCAUUUUGAAAAUAAUAGUAUUACAAUAAAUUAUUAUGAAAGAGUUAAUCAGGUGCAUCUGGUUGGUCUUCUUAGUAAUAAGGAGUAGGACGUCUGGGGUUCGAACUUCUUGAUCACACGAUUUUUCACAAAUUUCUCAUAUACUGUCCGAUAAAAUUCACCUACUGCUUGCCCUUUCCUUUGGUCCAUGUGACUGACUGGAUGAUAUUGAGCUCCUCCACCCCAAUAUGGCGAUCUAUGUUGCACGGAAAUAGAAAUAAAGAAUCGUGAAAAUAUAGCAACGAAACGGAAAAACGACAUUUAAAAUAUAAUUUUAUGAAAAUAAAUAGUAUUUCAUAUGGAAAAAUGUGAAAAUGUUUUCAAAAUGUGAAAAAGUCUAUGGCUAGAAAUUUUCAUGCAUUAUAGAUGGCGACACUAGCGAGUCCGGUAUCUAAUUGAGUGUUUGAAAGGAUAUUACUCAUUAAUCUUAUCUCUUGAAACAGAGAAACCUUAAUUUCAUUAUCAUGAUCGCAAACAUCGUUAAUGAUGUUUAUGAAUUUUGUUGCAUUAAUUUUGUUUCCUCGUACAGCUUUGAGAAAUUCUUACACUAAAAUAUCUUCGACAUGUAUAAUGACGAGUAAUUAAGCUCUUGAGGAAUUUUAGAUUUUUAUACUUCUAAAUAAGAAAAAAAAUGUAAAAAUUAUUAAUGUUUGUAAUGCUUUAAUUUAAAAGGACACAGUGACGAAGCUAGGAGGCGACCGCCUGGUGUUCUAAUGCACAGCGACCGCCUGGUGUUCUUUCCGGUUCCAACCGAUUUGUGGAACCGCCGGUUCACGGUUCCAAUAAUACUGGAACCGGAAAUCUCCGGUUCUGGUUCUAGUUCGGACCGGUUCUAGUUCCCACCGGUUCCGAUUUCGGUUCGGAUUCGGUUCGAACCACCGGUUCCGGUUCUGGAAACCGUAAUAUGGUCACCUCUACCACUUGGUGUUCUAAUGCACUUUAAGACGUUCUGAAUAUGUUAACAUAGUGGAAUUUCAUUGUUGCUUACGUCUCAAGACCCGAGUUCAACUUGAGGGGCUGCUGUUUUCUUGUUUUUUAGUGUUUUUUAGUUUAGGUUUUUUUAGCUAGUUGUAGAAGAACAAUUUUAGUUACUUUUUACUUAAAUUUAGGGUGUGAUGUUAUUUUCAGAGCACAGAUUGUUAAUUCCAGAGCUAAAUUAAUUACUUAGACAAAAUUAACCUUUUAAUUUACUUUCCUUUUGGCUUCAUCUCAGUCUUUUUGUUCUUUCACUAAACUUAAAUAUAUCAGAUCCUGUUUAUCAAAUCCAAAGAUGAAUUAUCAAUGGCAUUAUCAAAAGUCCUUGAUCUAGGUGAAAAUUUCUCAAACUGCCCAUCGCUCAUCCUUCUGCAAGCCCUUAUUUUUCCCCUCCUUUAAAAUCAAAUCUUCACCCUUAUUUGCUAACAACAAUACAACCUUUCUCUAAUUCUAUUUUUCUUUGCUUAUUCAAAUAUAUUUUUAAAAGAUUUAGUAUAUAAUUGUUUGAUAUGCUAUAACUACACUUGUAAAAUUAAUACACAAGGAAAACACUUUUCUUUCCUGAUCUUUCAUGGUAUCAGAUGUGAGAAAAGGAUUUAAGGAGAUACUAGAAAAAAGAUCCUCUUCAUAUUGAGGUUGUUCAUGGGUUAAUGAUGGUGAAUCUGACAAUUCAUUAAACUUAAGAAUCCUUACUAAAUUAAUUUUUCCUUGAAGUUAAAUUUGGCUUCAGAUUCAAGUUAAUAGACAAAGGCAAAUUCGAAGAGAAUUUGCUAUGCUACAAUUUGCGUUUGACGUGUUAAGGAAAGUAAAUUAAAAGGAUAAUUUUGUCUAAAUAACUAAUUUAGCUCUGAAAUUAAUAAUCUGUGCCGGAAAUAACACACCCUAAAUUUAAUUAGUUUAUAUACAUAAAAUAAGCACACAAGGUUCCACAAUUUUUGUUACCAUUGAAUGACUUAUAUCAUUAAUUUUAGUUUUAGGUUAUUUAAUUUUACAUUCUUUUUAAAUUUUAGUUUUGAAUUUGAUUCAAUUAUAUGAAUAUAUAAAAUUCACAGAUACAAUAGUAUUACAAAUUUGUAUUUCAAUUAUUUAUUAUUGACUAUUUAAUUAAAAUUUAACAAUUUAACAAAACUUUAGAAUUCUAAAUUCAUUGAAUAAACACGUAUGAUAUUUAAUUUAUUCAAAAAGAUAGAUCUAAUAUUACACUUCAUGAUUCUAUUUUAAUAGUUUUUACAAAAUAAUAUGAAAUCGAAUUGAUUGGAUUUUAAAAUUACAAUAAAAUAUUUAACAUUUUAAAUACUAAUAGUUAAUUUCAUUGUAAUUACUAAUAUGUAAAAUUUAAGAAAUUAUUUCUUUCCUAUUGAAAGUCAAUAUGUAUACUAAAAAAUUUUCUAUUAUUUUACUGUUAUUUAUAUUAUUAUCAUUAACAAAUUUUUAACCAUAUAAAUGUUGUUAUUAUUUAUGUAAUUACAGUAUUGUUAGAAGCUUUUUUUUUAUCAAGUUUAUUUCUUAUCCAGUAUAAAUUGACCUUUAUGAAAAAAUUCUAGAUCGGUCGCUAAAAGGACGUGUAAGCAGUACCCUGUCAUGCUUUAUUUUGUUGUUCUUUGGCCUACGAAUUACAUAGUUUAAUUUGCUUUGAGGUUUUUAUUGAAAAAGAUUUCAUUUUCGCUGAUAAAGAGUUGGAGAUGAGAAAAUUUUCAGUUUCAAAUGAUUAUUCCUAAAUUUACUGACAUAAUGGUAAAGGCCCCUUUUUGAAUAGAAGGAGUUUAUUGUUGGAUGGAACUAAAACUCAAGAAUAAAUAAAUUAAUUUAUACAAAUGCAGGAAUGAAAUAGUUAAUUGAUCAAAUUUUAGGGAUUUAAAAAUAUUUUUCCCUUCAGAAAAUAACUAAUUAAGGAAAGGUAAAAUUAUAGGUUUUCAACAGAAUUUAGGAUCACAGUUUUACAAGUGCAAAUGUCCUUAUUAAAAAGCUCACUAUUGGUAUGAGUUUCAUGAUUCCUAUAUAUUAGUAAAAACCUUAUUUCUAUUAUGCAUAUCAUUCCACCCCUCCCCUCUCUUUAUAACAAUUGACUAAUUAAGGGUGUCAAAGCGAGUUAUACAUAUCAUGUUUUUGAUCCGCAUAUGAUCCAUUUAAUUAAAUUUGGUUGAGUGUUUUUUUUACUCAUAUAUGACCCAUAUAAUUAAACAGAUUACAUAUGUUGUGUUCGUGUCACUCGUUUAAUUUUUAUACCGUAUUCGUGUUAAAUAUUUGAGAGAAUUCUUGAAUGACUUGUGUUUAUAUUGAUCCUAAUCAUAUCGUGCGUUUGCCAAAUUCAUGGCGGGCCAACCCAUUUUUACACUAAUAGUAAGUUUGGGGCUUGAAAGCACUGGCCCCUUUUAAGGCAUGAUGAAGAAAUUUGAGGGAGUGGCAAUUGCGAUUUGGGUAGGUCAGCCUGUGUUAUAAAACCCUACUAUAAACAGACACUGUUUUGGAAGUCGUAGGAAGCCCACUACGAUAAAUGGGCUUGAAAGCUAGGUGUUGAAGCCUAGAGUCAGAAUUCUAAAAAGAAAAAUCAAUCAGAUUUAUAUAUUUAAUUAAUGAAAUUGAAAUGGAUGAUUUAUACAUAUAGAUAGGGGUCACCAUUUCACGGUUUUUGGAAUCGAAACUGUAGGUUUGGAACCGGUGGAAAUCAGAAUCGAAACUAUAAGAAAUCAGAAUUAAGAGUCUGUGAUCCAGUUUCUAUUCCAACUUUUAAGAAACUAUGAAUCGGCGAUUUCAAGAAUUGGUCAGAACUGGCUGGAACUGGCAGUCCAUUCGAGCAAGCGGUUCCACCCAAUUCCAAUAAUUUUUUUUAUUUUUUCAAAUACUUUUGUGAAAUUUUCAAAUUAACCAUUCUAACAACUAGUUUUAAGAUGUCAAAUUUUGAUUUUUUAGAUUUAUUAUAAAUAUCCAUUUUCAUUUAAAUAAAUAAAUUAAAUUCAAGCCUUUUUUAAAAGAAUAAAUUAAGUUCAAUCCUUUAUCUUUAAAAAAAAAUUCAAGCUUUUUUUUUAAAAACAAAUAAAUUAAGCCAAGUGUUUUUAUUAAUUUUUUCUUAAAGUUUUUUCUAAAAAUUAUUUCAUAAAUAUUUAAAUUUUAAAUUUUUAAAAAAAUAUAUUUCUUAAUUUUUUAUUUUAUAAUUAUGUGAUUCGCAGGAAAAUAAAUCGGGGAACUGGCCGGAACCGUUGAUUUCGAACCGUUAAGGAAUCGGAAUUGAAAUUGUAAUCGUUCGAUUCCAAACUAUAAUCGGAACGGUCAAUUUCUAAUUUGAUUCUAAUUUUAGAGUUUUCAGAAUUAUAACCGUCGAUUAUAGAAUCGAAACAGGCGUUUCCAAAACUAAGGACACCCUUACAUAUAGAAUAACAACGCUUGUGUGUCACGUGUGACGUGGGCCACGUAGCUGCUGGAUGGAAAAGAUAAUAAAGAAUUGAGUAGGAGACUGAUAGGAAGGGCAGAAUUGUAAAAAUAGCUCAAACUCACUGUUCGCAGAGCUAAAAGGAUAAAAUAGAAAUAUCAUAAAAAAAUAGGAUAUAUAUAUAUAUAUAUAUAUAUAUGUAUUCGAUGGCUAUUGGUUGUUAUUUCUUAGGCCAAUUUGUGUAUUUAUUAUGACCACUUAUUUUUUAUGGGCAACUUAUGUAUUUUUAUAAAUUAACAACUCACAAAUAUUCUCUAAAGUCAAAAAUUACAAAAAGAAACCUUAUUUGAGUAGGUAGGUUUUUGUUUUGAGAUUUUAAUUCCCAACAUUGGCUUUUGUUUAUUUUUGAAAAAUAAUUUGGCUUUGAAAAAUAUUUUUAAAGAAAAAAUUUUUCUUAAAAAAUAUUUUUCAAUAACUUAUUUUUUUAUUUUUGGUUGCAAUAUUAAAAAGUAGUUAAAAUCAUUAAAAUUUUUAACUAAUGAAAGCAUAAAAAAUUUUAUUAUAAAAAUUUCAUGUUUUUUAAAUUUCUUAUUAAAUAUGAGAAAAAUUUUUCAAAAAAUGUCAAAUUGUGAUAGUUGCUGGUGACUAGUGAUGGUGAUCGCAAUGACUAGUGGUAGUAAUCAAAAAUUGGUGUUGAUAGCUCUCCGUAAUUAAUAUAUUAAAAAAUGUAAAUUUCUAAGGUUGUAAUAAGUUUGUCGAUAUCGGAAAAAAUUUUCUGUCAUAUAAUUAAGAAAUUAUUUUCCUUAAAAAUGACUGUCUUCGAUCAAAAAAGUAUUUUCCAUUAAUUGAUUUUUUUGAACAUCAAAUAUCCAAAAAUAUGAAAAAUAUUUUUCUGACAAAUUAUUUUUUAGAAACAAAUAGAGCAUUUUAUUACAUGAAAUUUUAAUAAAUUUUAUAUAAAGUAAUAAUGUUAUGUACUCAAUUUGCCAAAUAAAUUACCCAUAUCAUAAUCAAUAAAAUUAUUUAUUUAUUUCUUUUUGAAAUACUCAUUUAUAGGAGUUAAAAUUCCAAUUUGUAUUAUCAAAAUAAUGAUAUUAUGAUUCCACUUUGAAUUCUAUCGAAUUGGAAUAAUCAUUUUUCUCUUUCAUUUGCCUCAAAAUAUAUUCUUAUUUUCAUUUUUAAAAAUUAUUUAUUAUUUAAUUUCUUAAUAUAACUUUAUUAUUAUACUCUAUAUUUAUAAUUGUAUAUGCUACAAUCAUUAAUAGAGGGGUAUUUUGGAAAACAAAAUAAAUACAAAAUAUAAUUUUACUGUAUUAACAAGUUUUUCUUAAUGUAUGUGAAAAUUAAGAUUCUAUGUAGGACGGAGGGAGUAUAAUUCUAAAUUAAUUUCUAUUUCAAUUUUGUUAUCCAAUCAAACCUUAUUCAAAUGGAUAAAGUCAAGGAAAUUUUAUCCCCAGACCUUUGCUCGUAGCUUUCUCUGGAUGUUGUUGCAACUAGAACAGAAUCUACCAAAUGAUUUGGAAAACAAAAUGGGCUUCUCCACUGUCUUUGCAACUGGGCUUCUAGUUGUUAAAAGUUUUAUGCAUCAAAUACCAAAACUGCAAAGUCUUGCAAAUUUCAGAGCCAUUGCUUCGAGUAGGGGUGUGGAUGUAAAUUACAUAAUUCUGUUCCUUAAGUUUGAGUUUUAGUCUCAUUUUAUUUAAUACGUAAUCUCAUCCUGUUCCAUAUUAUUUUUAUAGAUGGGACGAGACGGAAAUUCAGAACGAAACAAAAUAGCCCAAGUAGAGAAUCUAUCAAAAUUUCAUAUAUUUUCACUAAUUUUUUUUUUUUUUUUACUAAAAAAGAUAAAAUUGUUUAUAGUUGUAAUCAUAUAAAACUCAUCGAUAGAAUCUUGAAAAUAAAGGGAUAGCGCAGAAGUACUCAGUUUUUUAAAUAAAAUGAAACUUAGAUCGGUAUGAGUCGAUUUUAAUCAAAGGAUCAAUCCCGUCUUAAAAUUACUUUUCUAACAAAAUUUGGAAUAAGACUACUUAAUUUAUAUAAAAAAUUUUUGUUGGGAUAGAAAAUUUAGAACGACUUUCAAAAAUGGAUCAAGAUUCCAUCUCCUUGAAAAAACUUGAAUCCAAUUAUAACUUAAACAAUCCUGAAGCUUAUAAUGUAAUCCGAUUACACUAGUUUCUUUAAUGUUACAACAAGGCCAAGUAUUUAGCUUCACCUUCCACUAUAUUUACAACUAUCCGAUUGCAGAAUUUAUAAAAGUACUUUGAGGAACAUUAGAUCCAGCUUUCUGGACCUAGACAGGUUAGCUCUACACUAUGUCGAAGUUCAAUUUAUAUUUAAGGGACAAACAAAUGGAAUGAGAUCCACUUGGAAAAGAUUAUUUUUAGACUCGACCAUUAUGAGGAAAAAAAAAAAGCAAACGUUUAUCUGAAAUUUUAUCUUGCAAGAAAACAAAGUUAAUUCUCCUGAGGUUAUAUCCUGCAAGGGAAAAAAAUAUCUCUAGGACUUUACCAUGGAAGAUUAAAGAAAAAUAAAAACUCUCUGGAACUUUAUUCUGCUGAAAAAUAAAUAUUUGGGACUAUGUCUCAUAAGAUGAAAGAUAAAAGUUUGCCUAGAACUAUAUUCAACGAGAAAAUAAAUAACAAGUUAGACGAGCGUGGUUUGAUUGAUUCGUUUAAAAGAGUUCAUUCUAAUUGUGUAAUUCACGAUAUUUUUUUGGUUCGUUGGACCGCCUAAUGAAAAAAAAAAAAAAAUAUUGACAUGGGAUAAAACAUUUCUAAUUCUAUUUGUGUUAAAAUGCAAUUUGAUCUGUUUUUUCCUCACCCUAUGCACAUAGUUAUUGCCCUAAAAAUAAUUCAUAACAUCUCCCAUUAAAAUUUUAAUAAAUAUAAAUAAUAAUUUCAAAUAAUAUUUAAUCAUAAGAAUAAUGUCGGUUUAAAACUGAUUAUAUAUAAGUGUAUGAUCAUGAAGCACGCUGAGAUGAAUUUAUAAUCAAAGCAACUUAUCAUGGUAGAUAUUGCAAUUAGGUUUAUGGUAUAAUGUUUGGAAAUAAAAUAAAGGGAAUCAUUGAGCGCAGUUGGACUUUAGAGGCAUUAGUUUAUUCCUUUUAAGUGCGUUGGAUCCACGCAGAUCAUUACCAAAUUGUUGAUACUUUAUGUUUAACUAACUGAUUCUAAGUCAUGCUGCCGUCGAAUUCUUUGGCAUUCUUGAGGCUUUUGUAUUUUUUUUAAAAAAAACUAUGAAUUUGUUGGAUAAUAACGUGAGCUUAUAGUGUUUUGAUCGGAGUCAAAAUGCUAUGAGUCUAUUUUUGUAAUAUUAGCUGUUUUAGUAAAUAUUUACGGUUUGACGAACUCUUAGCUGCUAGUUAUUUAUAUAACUAAUAGCCGUUUUAUUAGCUUUUAAAUUUAAAAUGACAAAAAAAGGUAUUUAUAUAUUGAGUUAGAAUUAACUUAUGACUAUAAAAGCCAAUGAGGUGGUCUAGUUGGUCUUCUCACUUAUGUGAUAUAAGGAGUGGGCGGUCUUGAGUUGGAGUUCUCUCGACCACAGUUAUUUUCACCAAUUUGAUGAGUUAAUAGGAGAGCUACCCUUGUUGUGUAGCCCAUUCACCAAAAGAAUGUCAAUUUAUAGUGUGUAAUUCAAUUAUGUAAAUUGAAAUCUUUAUCAUUUCUAAAAUGAUAAUACAAUUUUCUCACAUAUUCCUAUAUUAAGUCAUUAUUAAAUUAUUUUAUUUAAAUUUUUGAGUAAAAUAAUGUAAUUAACCAUUGAAAAGAAAGACUUUAAACUAAUUUUAAUAUAAAUUAAUUAAGAAUAAUAUAAGUUAAUUAAGGACAGAAUCGUCAAAAAAAUUUCAAUCAAAAAAUGGAAACGCUAAACAUUAGAUGAAUUAACUUUUUAAUAAGCAUUAUCUUAUCCACUAACAAAUAUUUUAUAUACUACCUUACCCAACGAUAUAAUUUACAAAAAACACUCUUUUAAAGUAGUUAAAACUCUAAACUCUAAACAAUCCAUCAAACAAUUGUUGCCGAAUAUAGCUUAUAUCUAUUACUUAUAUGGUUCGAUAAUGUAAUAUUUGUACUAGCUCGUUAGGAAGCGUCUCAUAAAAUGUUAAAUAGCAUAAGUUUAGUGUUUUACAUUUUUUUUUUUUUUUUUUGAGUAUUUACAUUUUUGUGUUUGACACUCAUAUAUCUAGUUUUUUUUUCUUGAUUUUUAAGGCCUAAAAUUUAGGUGUUCUACUUGCUAUAACUCUCUUUUGAGUUUAGUACUUUUAUUUGAUUUUCUUUUUCAAAUUUCAAGGAAAUGUCUUUUUAAUUACUUUAUUUUGUUAUUUCUUAUUGUCUCAAAACAAAAAUAAGAGCGUGUUUUCAAAAUUGAAUAAAAAUUACAAGAAAGAUUUGUUUUUCGUCUUUUCAUUUUAAUUUUAUAAGAAAUAUUUUCUUUUAUAGAAAAAAUGAAAUAAAAAAAUAAUUAGAAAGAAAAAAACACUUAUCAUAUAUAUAUAUAUAUAUAUAUAUAUAUAUUUUUUUUUUUCUUUUACUAAUGAGUUCACUUUAUUGUCUAUAGCCAUAGAUUAAAAUUCUAAGUCAUUCUUCUAGUGUCCUUUUUUUAAUUUAACAACUAAUCAAACAUCUAUUUUUACUGAACACUUUUAUUUUAACCUGUUAUAUAAAUAGCUAAUAACUAUUGAUAGCUAACAUAUACUAGAAUAGCUAAUAUCUACUAUAAGAGCUAGUAUUGCUGAAUAGACCUUAUAUAUAGGUUAAGAAAAAAAUUCUUAUACUGCAAGAAAAAUUAAUUAUCUCUUCCUUAAAUUUCAUUUACCUAUAAUAUAUAUACAAGUGGGAAUCCAUGAGGAAACAUUAAGAUCGCCAAAUACACUCCUACUAAGUUUAUGGAUUGAGAAAAAUAUUAUUAAGGAUUUUAAUUUGAUUGAUUAAAAAAUAAAGAUAACUUAAAAUUUAUUUACCAAUAAGAUUUGUUUCUCGUCUUUUCAUUCUAAUUUUAUAAGAAUUAUUUUCUUUUAUUGAAAAAAUGAAAUAAAAAUAAAAAAAAUAAUUAGAAAGAAAAAAAAACACUUGUCAUUAUAUAUAUUUAGUGUAACGAUAUGGGCAGUCCUAGUGUGCCGAUUGUUCCUUUGAAGAAAAGGACCAACUCCGGCAUAGUAAUAAGAAGGUGAAACUCCAUGAUGAUACUGGUGGCUCCCUGGACUACUAGGAUUCAGAAGUUGAGCAUGAUUCUAAUCCAACUGUAGGGUGACGCAAAGUCUCUUUUAAGGAUGUUGUCCUUCGGGAUUCCCUUAUGGGGGAGGCUAUGUCUGAAUUCGCAGUCAAGGACAAAGACAUCUCAAAAGAUGAAUCUAUCAAUGGCAAAGCCGAAGAUGGUGAUCCAGAAUGCUCUACUAAAAGGGUUUCAACAAUGGAGAAGCAUAUUCGUAGGAGACCCUCGAAACAAACUUUGAUUAUUAAGGUGUUACGUCGGUCAGUUGGAUUUAAUUAUUUGCAACUGCGGGUUAAGAUGUUAUGGAAUUUGAAAUCCCCAGUUGAAAUUAUAGACCUGUGAAUGGUUAUUCUUUGGUUCGUUUUUCCAAUCAAUAUGAGUAUGGGUAUGUGCUUUUUGGUGGCCCCUGGUUAGUAGUUGAUCAUUACUUGGUUGUCUGACCGUGGUAUCCCAAUUUUGAUCCUAAAUAUGCCGUAAUUGAUCGUGUUGUGGUUUGGGUAUGGAUUCCCAACCUUCCCAUUGAGUAUUACUCAAAGGUUUUCCUUCUUUGCUUGGGUCAAAAAAUUGGUACACUAAUUCGAGUUGGUGGCACUACUCUAGAUGCCUCUAGGGGGAAAUAUGCUCGGCUAUGCGUUGAAGUUGAUCUAAACAAGCCUCUUCUCUCAAAAUUCCAUUUUUGUCGGAGGGUCAAACGUCUUGAGUAUAAGGGCUUAAAUCAAAUAUGUUUUGAGUGUGGUUGCUACGGGCACUGGAGGGAAUCCUGUCUUUUAACUAAACCCAAUGGAGACCAACUUACUGGUCCAAUUCAGGCGAAUACUGUAGGGGGUUGGGGGUAGAGGCGCUCCUUCACAGGUUUCGGUGGCUCCACCUGCCAUUAUGGCAAAGGUUUUUUAUCCUUACAGUCCUUGGAUCCUGGCAAAAAAACUGGGACGUAGAACAACACGGAGAGUUGACGUAAGUUCCUAAUUAGUUCCAGUAUUUUCGGAAUAAAAUCGUGCUCGAUCCAAGCGUAAUCCCACUAAUCAAGCAAUUAUUGUUGGUGGUAAAAAUUCUUUUGCUGCUUAUCUACAUUCAUCCUUGAAUGUCGUCGGCUACUUAUGAUGAUGUAGUGGAAGAGAUUCUGUAUGCUGAUGAUCAAGAAAAUGCUAAUCCUAAUAUAGAGAAAGAGCAGGCCUUUUGAAGGCCCAGUAGUUACUAAAGCCCGCAAUGCUUUACUGCCCACUUUAGGUGACAAUGAUACAACCACAAAGCCUAAGAGCCCCCCUCAAUCCAAAGAAGGUGGUGGUAAGUCUAAAACCCCCCAUGUCUCAUGAGUCAUUGCGGCCUGCCCCUUCUCAAUUGGCUCUUGAGCCACUUUUGGAUUGUAGUCCUAUCCAGUCCAUCGCAAGCGAAGAUGCUGUCUCUCAACAAAAUGCCCUUUCUUCUCCUUCUCCCAUCAUAGCCACCUCUCGCUCCCAAAUCGCUGCUGCCCUCGACGAGCACACUAUUGUGGUUGGUAAGGUGAGAAAUGGUGUAGUGGAAGCGAAAAUGGUUAGUGAUAAUAUGGAGGUGUUUACCCUAGGGAUUUAGCUUCUAUCGUUCAAGAAGCCAACCAAAGGUGCAUCUCUAAUUCUCAUUCUCUCUGAAUAGAUAGUUCCAGACUCAUAAGGGAAUUUUCUAAUCCAUGCCACCAUUUGUGGUCCCAGUCCUUUGGCACUCGUUUGCUUAUGAUUUUGCUGGGUUCUCCCUUUAUGGGUUUCUCCAUCUUUUUUUGGUUUAUGUCAUUCAUAAUUUGGAAUGUUCAGGGCAUUACGGCAAAGCGCAGUUAGCAUGUCCUUCGGAAUUAUUAUAGACAGCAUCGCCCAUCACUUCUUAUUCUUGUUGAGCCUAAGGUUUCAUGCACUAGAGCAGAUUUGGCUUCUAUGUCCCUCGAUUUUGAUUGUUGGGUCAGAGUUGAAGCGGUUGGUUUUAGCGUUGGAAUUUGGGUGUUUUGGAAUUUAAGUCUACGUACUAUUUAGAUUCUUUUUUCUAAUUCGCAAUUCAUCCAUUGUCAAAUAAUUGAGUAAGGCGGUAGGAAAUGGGUGUUCACUGUAGCUUAUGGCAGCCUUAACGAGCACUUUAGGGAUAAGAUGUUUGACAGUCGCACUCGUAUUGGUCAAGAUGUCACCUUACCAUAGGUUCUAGCGAGUGACUUUAAUGCCUUCAUGGAAUCGGAAGAAACUAAGGCAGUGGGGACUCAUGUGUCGUAUCUCAGUAAUAAGUUUCAGAAUUGGGCGAAUAAUUUAGGGCUCCUUGAUCUUGGCUUCUCAGGUGCUCGGUAUACUUGGGUUCGUGGUCCUUUGGCUAGCAAUUUCUGGGCAGCCUAGUUGGACAGAGUUCUUUCUAAUCUUUCUUGGCACACUACCUUCCCACUUGCGGCUGUCCGCCAUUUGGAAAGAUCAAUUUCAGACCAUUGUCCUCUUUUGUUGAAAUUGAAUUUGCAUCAGACGUCUAGCUCUUGUUCCAGUUUUCAGUUUCAAUUGGCAUGGUGUUCUCACACGGAUUUUCGCAGGGUAUUGGUAGAGAAUUGAUUCCUCUCCAUAAAGCUGGACACUAAUUUACAAUAACUUCACUCCUUUCUUUCUUCUUGGACUCAAAGUGUUUUUGGUGAUGUCCAUCAAUGUAAAAGACGCCUUUUAUCUCGGCUUCAAGGGAUUCAAGAGAGAGUUUAUUCCGGGGCAUCCUCGGUUUGUGGAAGUUUGAGCUUAAGUUGAAAAGUGAGCUGGAAGCAAUUUUGGAUCAAGAGGAGUUACUAUGGUUUCAAAAAACUAGAGAGGGCUGCAUUGUUUGUGGUGACAAAAAUACAGCUUAUUUUCAUGCUUCUAUUGUGCUUAAAAGCUUUAAAAAGGGAAUUCUUGCUUUGAAGUCUACUUCUAGGGAAUGGCUUUGGGAUCAAGUUAAGCUCUCUAAUAUGGCCGUCCAAUAUUUCCAUGACCUUUAUACUAAGGAAUGAGGGGUUGUUCCUAGUUGUGUUACUUCAAUUGGUUAUCCACGACUCUCAUUUUCUCAUACUCUCAUUCUUGCUAGCCCAUUUCAAGCGAAAAAGGUAAAGGAAGCCGUCUUUGUUAUGGCCCCCAAUAAAGCUUUGGGUCCGGAUGGAUUUUGGGUUGCUUUUUAUUAGAAAUUUCGGAAUGCAAUUAGUGCUACAAUUGUUAAUUUUGCUUUGCAUUUUUUAAAUGAUGGCAUUCUUCCAAAUGAUGUUUGCAGCACUCUACUUACUCUUUUGCCUAAGGUUCCUUCUCUUGAUUCAAUAAGUCAAUUCCAGCCUAUAAGCCUUUGUAAUGUCAGUUUUAAAAUCCUGACAAAGGUUCUCACUAAUAGAAUGAGACAUGUGUUUCCUCAUUUAAUCUCAAAUGUCCAGAGCAGUUUUAUUCCAGCCGUCAACUUCAUGAUAAUUUCGUAGUCUACCAAGAAGUUCUUCGUGGUAUGCAUAAUAAGUCUGGAUCUACAGGUUAGAUGGUUCUUAAAAUUGACUUGGAGAAGGCAUAUGAUCGGCUUAGGUGGUCUUUCAUAGAUGUGUGUCUUGAUCUCGCUGGUUUCUCUACUCAUUAGAGACAGUUAAUCUCACAAUAAGAAUUCUUUUGAAUAAUUUGCCUUCAGACAGCUUUACUCCAUCUAGAGGCGUCAGACAAGCUGAUCCAAUAUCCUCGUAUCUGUUUCUGUUGGCAAUGGAAAGGUUGGGGCAUGUUAUUCAAGAUGCUGUUAAUAUUGGUUCUUGGAGGCGCAUCCGGCUUGCGCGAGGGGGUCCAACUUUGUCCCACUUGUUCUUCACUGAUAACCUUUUCUUAUUUCUUGAAGCCUCUGUAGAUCAGUUGGAGAUUGUUAGGGCUUGUUUAGAUAAGUUCUAUAGCAUUUCAAGUGAAAAAGUCAAUUUAGCCAAGUCCUCUAUCAUGUUCUCUUUUAAUGUUCCAACUGCGGUCCGUGUAGAUCUAUGCCAACGGUUGGGUAUGACACUAAUAGAGAAGGUGAAUUCUUAUUUGGGGGUCCCUAUGAUUUAUGGUCAUAUAACUAAAGCGGAUUUUGACUCUUUAUUUACCCGUUUAGAUAAGCACCUUGCAGGUUGGAAAUUGGGUAUUCUUUCUUUUGCUAGUUGGCUCACUUUAGCCAAGUUAGUGUUAACAGCUCUCCCGAAUCAUAUUAUGCAGGUUCUUCCUCUUCCAAAAGUUGUAUGUGAUGAUUUUGAUAAAUGGGUGUGUGAUUUUUUAUGGGGUUAUGACAAGUAACAAAAAAAGAAAAUCCACUUGGUUAAUUGGGAGAAGGUGACUAUGCCUGUUCGCUGUAGUGGUUUAGGAGUUCGUACUUACUGCUAUGUUAAUGAUUCCUUCCUGACAAAGUUGGGAUGGCGCCUUUUACAGGAUAUUAAUUCUCUUUUGAGUCUCACUUUAAAGUCCAAAUAUAUGAACCGGCAGAUCCAUAUUGAUGUUAUUAAGGAUAAAUCUAAUGGUUCCUGUAUUUGGCAGGGUCUUGUGAAGGUGAUUCCUGUCUUAAGGAAAUGAUUAAUGAAGGUAGUGUAUAGUGGAUUUGGUACUCACACCGUAUCUUCCUCCAGUGAUCUAUAAAAUGCUUGAAGCAAUUUUUUCUAGAUGAUGGUCUAGGUUCUUCUGAUGUCUUAGCUUGGACGGAGACUUACAAUGACAUUUUCUCUAUUUCAUAUGCAUAUAUGAUGUUUCACACAGCCGUUUCACCUUUUCAAAAUGACAUUUGGGGGAUUAUUUGGAAAGUAAAGGUACCCCAGGAGAUAAAUGUUUCCUUUGGUUAUUUCAGCUAGGCACGCUUAUGACUAAUUCCAAACGACUACGUCAAAGUUUCAGUGCAGUUGAUGGGUGUAAAUGUUGUGGUGCCAGUGAAACUAUUGCGCAUCUUUUUCGGGAUUGUCAUGUGGCGCAGCUGGUCUGGAAGCAAGUUAUAGAUUCCCACUCUUUCCUCCAAUUCGAUACUUAUUAGCCCUUAGAGUGGUUGUCCUUAUGCUCUCAAUGGUCCUUUCCUCUAUUUCCUGAUGCCUUUGCAGUUUUGAUUUUCUCUAUUGUAAUGUAGUGCAUUUGGAGAUGGAGAAAUGCCUUUGUAUUUCAAAACGAAUUUGAUUCUUUAUUCUCUAAGCUGUAGGGUCUCAAAUUUCAAGUCACCACCAAUUUGCAGGCGUGGAAUGGUGCUGUUGGAGUGAUGGUUUUAGCUGGGAGAAGUAAUAUUCAUAUUUCUUGGCUUCCUCCACCUUUGAAUUGGCAAUGUGGAUGGUUCCUCUAAAGGAAAUCCUGGUCUUGGUGGUGGUGGUGGAGUUAUUAGAUGUUCUCAAGGUGGUGUGUUGGUUUUCUAAUCCGAUUGGGCGUUUGUUCUUCCAUGGUAGUUGAAUUGCAAGCUUCGCUAACUGGACUUCAGUGUGCUUGGGAGUAUGGUUGUCGGUGGUUGAUGGUGGAGAUGAAUUCUCAAAUGAGCCUUAAGCUUGUGACCUAUCAUCAUAUAGAGAAUUUUAAGUUCAAGAAUAUUCUGCAGCAAUGUUGGUCUCUGAUGGAUAGGGAAUGGACCCUACAGUUCGAGCAUGUUUAUUGAGAAGGCAACCAAGUAGCGGAUGCCCUGGCUAAUUUGGCGGUCCGUUCUCCUCUUCUAAAGUCUAUUCUUCAGCAGCCUCCUGGCCCUGUCCUUGCUCCUUUACAGUCUGAUGUGCAGCAGGUUGCUUAGCCAUGUUAAGUGGCUUUUAGUUAAUUUUGUUCUGCUAUUCCCCUCCUUUAUAUCCAAAAAAGAAAAAAAAAAAAAAGAGUUCACUUUAGUUCUAUAGCAAUAAAUUUCUAAGUCAUUCUUAUAGUGUCCUUUUUUUGUUUUUUUAAUUUAACAACUAAUCCAACAUCUAUUUCUACCAAAUACGUUUAUUUUAACCUGCUAUAUAAACAGCUAAGAACUACUAUAAAAACUAAUAUUGUUAAAUAGACCCUAUAUAUAGGUUGAGAAAAAACAAAAAAAAAUUCUUAUGCUGCAAGAAAAAUUAAUUUCUCUUCCUUAAAUUUUUUUUACCUAUAAUAUAUAUACAAGUGGGAAUGCAUGAGGAAACAUUAAGAUUGCCAAAUACACUCCUAUUAAGUUUAUUUAUUGAAACAAAUAUUAUUAAGGAUUUUAAUUUGAUUGAUUAAAAAGAUAAAGAUAACUUAAUUUUGAUUGGUCAUAUUAAUUUCCUAUUUAAAUCUAAAGUAUAAUUGGAUAAGAAAAGAAAUUAUAUUAUAUAUUAUAUAAGUAUAUAUAAAAUGUGAUAAUAUAAUUCGGUUUCACAUUUGUGAUAUUUGUAUUUGAUGGUUUUUUAAAAUCGAAACUGAUGGUUCUAAAACUGUAGUCAUGCCUAGUAUGUAAUCAAAUAAAGUUUAAAAAAAAAAUUAAAACACAUAUAAAAUUUUAACAUAUAAUUCGAAUUUUAUAAAACCCAGAAUUCAAAUAUCUGCUUGUGUUAAAUUUUACUAAUAAAAAUAAGAUGUUUUUGUGUCUAAAAAGGCCAAGGGCACUUUUUUGUACCCUAACAAGCCAAUGAAGUCCUGACCUAACAGUCUAAACAAAGAUCGUUUAUAUAUGUGUUUUAAUCUACUCUCAUCCCUAUUUAAUUUUUACCCUCAUUAUAAAAUACUCCUUCAGUCCCAAAAUAUUUAUUCAAGUUUCUAUUUUUUUGAUGUCCCAAAAUGUUUAUUCACUUGAUUUAAAGAGAUAUUUACUUUUCCUUUAUACCCCCUCAUUAUAAAUGUUUUUAAAUUCUAGGAAUAACUUUUGUUUUGUUUUAAAGGAGGACAAUUUUGAAAAUGUAUAGAUAUUUUGUAUGAUGUGGCACUAUAAUUAAUGAAAUUCUUAAACUUUAUGCAAAAAUCAAUAGGACAAAUAUUUUGGGAUGGAAGGAAUACUGAAUUUCUCACAAAAGUAAUUGAGAAAUGUUGCAACCAAAUACAGAAAAUCGACAUGCUUAUUAAAGAUUAUUAAAUUUCUUACAAGGUAAUAGAUAAAUAUUAUAAUCAAAUAUAGAAAAAUCAACAUGUACUUGACAACUCUGAAGAAAAUGAUCAACUAUAACAAUUAAUUGUUCAUAUAUUACCACAAGUAACAUGUUAUUUGUCUUUAUGUAGUAAUCUAUCAAAUAGUGACACUCUUCAUUCCGCAAAGUGUAAAGCAAGUGCAAACCUAAGACUUUGUUUAUUUUCUGACAAUAAAUAAUUUUUAUAUAUCUAUCUAUAACAUAUGUAUAAAUGAAAAUUAGUAAGGAAUAUUAAGAUUGCCAAAGAUGCUCUUGUUGAGUUUAUCGAUUAACAAAAAUAUUAUUAGGGAUUUUAAUUUGACUGGUUGGAAAAAUAAAAGUAACUUAAUUUUGAUUGGUUAUAUUAAUUUCCUAUCUAAAUCUAAUUCUAUUAGAUAAAAUAAGAAAUUAUAUUAUAUAUUAUACAAGGAAUAUAUUAAAGAUGGUAAGAUAUAAAUAUUUUAAGAAUUUAUUGAGUGAAAAAUAAAUGUAAUUUAAUUUUGAUUGGUUAUAUUAUACUGUGUAAGGUACAUAUUAAAUGUGGUUUGAAUAUAAUAUAUUUAAUUAUUAUUUUAAGAAAAAUUCAAUUUGAUUCGUUAUAAUUAUUUUCUAUAAGUAAUUUAUUCUACAAAAGAUAAAUAUAAUUUUUUAUUUUUUAUUAAGAAUCAUAUUAAAUUUAUUAGUUGAUAUAAAAUAGAAAAUAAAGUUCAUUAGAAAUAUAUAGAUAUAACACAUUAUAUUUGCAAACCAUAUAAUAUGUUGAAGAAUUUUUUAUCUCAAAAAAGCAAUCAUAAAAUUAGUUAUAUACAUAUAGACUUUAGAAAAAAGAAAAAAAAAGGAUAAAAAUAAUAAAAUUAUAAAUGAUGUUCUAAAAUAAUAAUGAGUAUAUUAAUUAUUAUAAUAGCUAAUAUUGAUUUUUUGGAUCUUAGUAAUAUAGGUAGUUUAUGGUAUUGUAUUAUAUAUGAAAAAUUUAAGUUAAUUAAAUUUAAAUUGAUUAUAAGUAAUUUUAUUUUUAUAAAAAUCUGAUUGUGAAGUUAUAAUAAUAUUUUAUUAUUAUAAUUUUGUUAUUUUCUUAAUAAAUUAUUUAAUUAUUCAAUUUUUUAUUUUAUUAUUUAAUAAAUAUAUAUUUUUUAUUUUAUAAAUAAUAUUAGAUUUUUGUAAUAUAAAUUGUUGACAAUAUUAUAAUUUAUAAUAAAAAUUGAUAUAUGUAACUUAAAUUACAUUUACUUGCAAUGUAAGAAACCAAUGAAUAUAAAUAAUGUACGAUGCACGUUCAUAAAAAUUAGUAUUUUUUAAAAUUAUAUUUAUAUACAUUGAUUUUUAAUGUUGCUUUAACUCUGUAACAUCCAAUUUACCUUAAGGAGUACGAUGAAAUGACAUAGAUUUUUUUUCCCUUAAUUAGAUGUUUUGAAUUCGAACUCUAAAGUCAAUUUAAAUAUUCGAUAGGAAGUAUUUUGCUCAAUUCAUGAUCAUUAUCGGACAUAAAUCCAUAUUAAUCGAUCCAAUAGACUUGAAUACUGAAUGGUUAAAAGAAGAAAAAUCUAUAAUACCAAGAUCAAUUAAAAUAUUUGUUUUUUCAUAAAUAAAAAAACUUAUUCAAUUUAGCCAUGUUCUAAUAAAAGAAUAAAAACGCUUAAACUAUAUUAAUUUGGUGAUACCAAUUUUAUAUUUAAAGUUGAAACAUAUUGUUUUGUUUAGUUUAAAUUAAUUAAUUUGGCAUAAAAAUAAAAGAGUUGAUCGGAUUAUAGAAUAAAAAUAUAUAAAUGGGUAAAAAUAAUAAUAAUUGAGCGUGCUGUGCAUUAUUCUGAAAAUGUCAACUGUCAAUCUCAUCUCUGUCAAGCUCAAUUAAUUAAUUUUCAAGAUGAAAGGAAAAGAGAUAUCACGAAAAUAAUGCGGUCAAAAAACUAUUUAUUUAUCUAUUAAAAAAUUAAAUAACUUUUUAGAACAUUAUUCUUUUAUUUUUUUAGUACAUUAUUUUGAUCAUAAUUCUAAACAAUGAACACAUUUUAAUUAAAAUAUAAACACAAACGUUUAUUUUGAAAAUUAAUAUUGCAUUGUACACAGAGACAAAGCUUAACGGUGAGUGAAUAUAUAAUUUAAUAAUAGAUCUAAGUUUGAAUCUCUAUGUGUAUUAAAAAAAUUAAUACUGCAUUUUUUGUUUAUAUAUUAUUAUUAUGAAAAUAAAAACCGUUCAAAUGUUGAAUGGACUUAUUUUGAAUUUUUAAGAUGAAUAUUCGAUCAAAUCAUGAGACAUGAGGUGAUUUAUAUAUCACAUUAAUGACAUGAACUAGCAAAACAGAUCCGCAAAAGUUAAAAAGAAGAACACUGAAGAAGAAAGGCAGGUGGCACCAAAUCAGACCACUAAAAGAACUGCCAAUAAAAAAAAAAAAAAGGAAAGAAAGAAACAGACCUAAAGGUCCCUUUUAAUAAAACCAUGACCUAACCCGCCGUUAUUAGCGGCGCUCUCGGUUUUUAUUUAGGUGGCCACCAACACCAAGCCAACCCAAGCCAAGCCAUGGUCCCUCUCAAAACUCCUAAACCAAACCCUUCGCUGGUUGGUUUUGUCGAGUUUUGACCUUUCUCUAUCUCUACCACCCACGUUUUUUCACGGCAGGUGGUUUUCGCAUUGCUAACUGUUUCUCUUUUAGGACUCUUAUUUCCAGUUUUAACCUUCCGUUAAUUUCUAUGCUUGAGCCCAAAGUCAUGUUCCCUCAGGCCCAAAAAAGGAUUUUCAUUUUCUUUCUUAUUUUGUAAUUUUUUUUUGUUCGGAUUUUUACUUGUGACAUGAAAUGGAAGACUAAAAUUGACUGAUUUUACAGAAUUAGCUGACUCAGUUUCACCCAUUUGCAAUCUGCUUAUAAAAAAUUAUAAAUAAUUGACUCUAUUAAAUAGUCAAAUAAUAAUAUUUUGAUGAUUUAAAAAAAAAAAAGAAAAAGCGAAAGUUAAAAGUAAGACACCCAAGGAAAAAAAAAAAAAAAAGUUGUGGAAUAUCUAUGAUAAGUUAUCUUACUGUCUUAAUGAGAUCUUAUAUGUAGUAAUAAUGUAGAUAUGACAGAUUCAUCUUCACCCUUUUUGUUUGAAAAUGAUAUGAUAUUAUGUAAUAAUUUUUACAUGUUAAAUUCUUUUUCAUUUUUUAAAAUAAUGCAUAAAAAUCAUUCAAAAAAAAAAAAACCACAAUAAAACUAGAGCAUUUAAAAUCAACAAAAAUAGAAUUAUUAAAAUAACUGAUCAAAAUUUAAUAUAUUAAUAAAAAAUGAUGGAAACUAAAAAUUUUAUUCACCAUUACUAGUUAAAAAAAAAAAAUAGCAGCCCAAGUUAAAGUAUCAAUAGAACAAUACCCCCUAUUUAAUAAUUUCAUGACAAAUGCAUAAAUUCAUCAUUGUAUUUUUUACGUAAAAGAUUUUAUGACACCUUCAACUUUUAUUUUAAUCUAUUAAAACAAUUUAUAAAGUUGUACCAAUUACAUAUUUCAAGUUAUAAAAGUUAUUAUAUUGAAUAUUUAAACUUUUAAAAUUAUAUCAAUUAAAAAUUUAUUAGAUUGUUGAAAAAUGUGAAAAUUAUUAUUUUAAAAAUUAUACUAACCAUACAUUAAGUGAAUCUAUUACACAUAAAUAUUAAAAACACAAAAAAAUAUUAUUAUUAAUUUAGAGAAGAAUACAAUAUCAGUAAAAUUAAUAACUUUAAAAGCAUAAUAGAUCACUCAUAAAAUUAAUAAUACUAUAAAAUUUUUUCUGUAAAAUAUGAAAAUAUAUUUAUGCAUUUUAGCCUAUAUUUAUUAUUAACUAGGCACAGCUUAAAAUUGCCAAAUUGGACAUUCACGACAGUUUACAAAUGUUUAAUCGAGUAAUAGAUUGAUCAAAGCGAAAAAAAGGUGUAGUGAAUUUUGGUUUGGUUGUCGAGGGUGAGAGAUUGACCAGAGCAAGGAAAACAAUGGGCCUGAAAAAAAGCAAGGGUAAAAGAGUAAAAGCAGAAAGAUAUCACAGUCUCCAACGGCAGUACACCGUUACGUGCAAAAGAAUUCAAAAGGCAACUUGCGACAAUAUCGAUGAUACCCCUACCCACUACUUUCUAUACUUAACUUUCUUGCUGUUUUGCUAACCCCUACCCUUCAAUAAAACCCCUUGUCUCUGCCCUCUUUCUCACAUCUCACUCUCUUUAUCAAAACCCUUUCUGUUGAAAUCUCUCCUCUAUCUACUGUUCAAUCAUGUCUGCUUACACGGGCAAAUACGCCGGUAAACUCUCGAUUUUUCCUUGCUCUUUCUGUUUGUUUCCCUAGAUUCUUGUAGUUGUUAUGUCCUCUGAUUUUCCUGUUAGAUCUUAUCUUCGUAGUGCUGUCUAAUUUUAAUUUAAUUGCUUUUGUUAGAUUGUUUUUGUUCUUAGAUUAUUUGUUUAGAUCUCUUGUUCAACCAAUUACGGACAUUUUUUGUUAUCAGAAAAUGUUUUGUGGGUUAACAUCGGAAUCAGAUUCUACUUAUGAGGAUUUAUAGUUGAUUCUGAUCAUAUUGGAUGAGUAUAACAAGAAUAUUGUGUCAUUAAGCAGAUCUAUUUGCAUUUAAUCUGUUUAAUCGGAUCUCUUUCGAUAUCAGUAGUUUGUAAAACUAAAAUUUUAAGUCACAGUUUUGAUUAAGCUAAGAUUACUAAAUUUUUAAUGGAGAAGAUCUGAGAUUUGAUGGAUCUGAGCCUGGAGUUAAUGGCUGUAGCUAACUAGUUGCUACUGUUUCAUAACAUGCAUCAUAUGAUGUAUGCUAUGAUUGUAUUUUUUAUUUCUUGAUCUUCAUAAAGAUCUAUAUUAAUAUCAAGUUAAAUUCUAUUAUGUAUUUGUGUUUUAGAUAAGGUUGAUUGUGCAAGAGUAGAAUGGAUUAUGUUUUGUUAAACGAUUUUAUCUGCGGGGGAAUUAUUUCUUUCAUUAGUUUUCAAUUACUUUUAUUUGUUGUCUAAGUUGAUUUUUGAUUGGUAUUUGUUUUUUUGACGUGGAUCCAUGAUAUUUUGAUGGUUUUGUGCUUUCGUGAAUUUGCUAUUUUGAGGUUAUCUAAAAUCGUGUCCAAUUAAAAUUUCGCUCUCUUUGCAGAUGAGCUCAUCCGCAAUGCUGCCUACAUUGGCACCCCUGGGAAGGGUAUUCUUGCAGCUGAUGAAUCUACUGGAACUAUUGGCAAGCGCCUUGCCAGCAUAAAUGUUGAGAAUGUUGAGGAGAACAGGCGUGAUCUUCGUGAGCUCCUCUUCACAACUCCUGGAGCCCUCCAAUACCUCAGUGGAGUGAUUCUCUUUGAGGAAACCCUCUACCAGAAGAGUAAAUCAGGUAAUUUUCUUAAUGGGAUUUUCUGUUUUAUAUAUAUAUAUAUAUAUAUAUAUAUAUAUAUAUUCUUUUUAAUCCAAAUAUUUUGCAAGAAUGAUGUGUUCAUUAUCUGCUUGAUCUCAUUAUCUGAUGACUUUCUUUUUGCUUGAAUUGCUUUCUGAUUUGAAUGUUGCUGUGCAGGUAAACCUUUUGUUGAUAUUUUGAAGGAGGGUGGUGUCCUCCCUGGUAUUAAGGUCGACAAGGGUACUGUUGAGCUUGCCGGCACCAAUGGUGAGACUACCACCCAGGGUCUUGAUGGCCUUGCCCAACGAUGCCAGAAGUACUACGAAGCUGGUGCCCGAUUUGCCAAAUGGCGUGCUGUGCUUAAGAUUGGCCCUAAUGAACCAUCUCAGCUUUCCAUUAAUGAGAAUGCGAAUGGGUUGGCUAGGUAUGCCAUCAUCUGCCAGGAGAAUGGCUUGGUACCAAUUGUGGAGCCUGAGAUUUUGGUUGAUGGACCUCAUGACAUUAAGAAGUGCGCUGAUGUAACUGAGCGGGUUCUUGCUGCUUGCUACAAGGCUCUCAAUGACCACCAUGUUUUGCUUGAGGGAACUCUUUUGAAACCCAACAUGGUGACUCCAGGAUCAGAAUCCGCCAAGGUUGCACCAGAGGUGAUUGCUGAGUACACGGUCCGUGCCCUCCAAUGCACUGUGCCUGCCGCUGUUCCUGCUGUUGUGUUCUUGUCUGGUGGGCAGAGUGAGGAGGAAGCUACCGUCAACCUGAAUGCGAUGAACAAGCUCAAGACCAAGAAGCCAUGGUCCCUUUCCUUCUCAUUUGGACGUGCACUUCAACAAAGUACCCUCAAGGCUUGGGCAGGUAAGCCAGAGAAUGUGCAGAAGGCUCAAGCUGCAUUCCUGGUCAGGGCUA
rnacentral:lncRNA from 1 species